UUUGUUUGGCAGAAAGAAGAAAGGGGAGACACCUACAGGAAUACUGGCUCAUGCCGCCAAGGCGUUAGGGCACUCAUCCGUCCAUGAUCUGCUGAUAAAGAGCUCCGAGAUGGUGGCUGCUGCACAGACGUUGUCCUCAUUCCCUAAGAAGAUCAAGAAGGUAUAAUUUUUUGUGUGACGAUGCGCGUUAGGAAUGGCUCCAAUGUUGAUGUGAUCGCCGUCGGCAUGCCCCCUCUAUGUCUAAAUUUGGGAUUAGUUUUAAACCUAAAUAAUUGUUAUUUGGUGUCUGUUUUGAGCAUGAACAUUAUAUCUGGAUCUUGUUUAUUGUGAGAUGGUUAUUCAUCUAAGUCAAAGAAUAAUGGUUGUUCUAUUUAUAUGAAUAAUAUCUUUUAUGGUCAUGCACCUAAUGUGAAUGGUUUAUUCUUGUUGAAUCUCGACCGUAGUGAUACACAUGUUCAUAAUAUUAAUGCCAAAAGAUGCAAAGUUAAUGGUUUAUUCUCGUGAAACUACCGCUUGGGUUAUAUUGGUGUAACGCAUGAAAAAACUCCAUGCUGAUGGACUUUUGGAAUCACUUGAUUAUGAAUCAUUUGAAACAUGUGAACCAUGCCUCAUGGGCAAGAUGACGAAAACCCUGUUUUCCGGUACAAUGAAGCGAGCAAGUGACUUGUUGAAAAUAAUACAUACUAAUGUAUGCGGUCCAAUGAGUGUUGAAGCACGUGGUGGAUAUCGUUAUUUUCUUACCUUCACGGAUGAUUUGAGUAGAUAUGGGUAUAUUUACUUAAUGAAACACAAAUCUAAAAAGUUCAAGGACUUUCAGAGUGAAGUAGAGAAUCAUUGUAACAAGAAAAUAAAAUUACUACGAUCUGAUAAUGGAGGUGAAUAUCUGAGUUACGAGUUUGGCACACAUUUAAGACAAUGUGGAAUUGUUUCACAACUCACGCCACCUGAAACACCACAGCGUAAUGGUGUGCCUGAACGUCGUAAUCCUAUUCUAUUGAAUAUGGUGCAUUCUAUGAUAUCUCUUACCGAUUUGUAACUAUCUUUUGGGGUUAUGCAUUAGAGAUGGCCACAUUCACUUUAAACAGGGCACCAUCUAAAUCCGUUGAGAUGACACAGUAUGAAUUAUGGUUUGGCAAGAAACCUAAAUUGUUGUUUUUCAAGUUUGGGGAUGCGACCCUUAUGUCAAGAGGUUUCAGCCUGAUAAGCUGAACCCAAAGCAGAGAAGUGCGUCUUCAUAUGAUACCCUAAAGAGACCAUUAGAUAUACCUUCUAUCACAGAUCCGAGGGCAAGAUAUUUGUUGCCAAGAAUGGAUCCUUUCUAAAGAAGGAGUUUUCUCUCGAAAGAAGUGAGUGAGAGGAAGGUAGAGCUUGAUGAGGUAACCGUGCCUUCUCUCAAAUUGGAGAGUAGUGCAUCGCAGAAAGAAGUUCCUGUGAUGCCUACACUAGCCGGAGAGGAAGCUAAUGAUGAUGAUCAUAAUACUUCAAAUCAAGCUAUUCCUGAACUUCCUAGGUCGACCAGGACACGUUCCGCACAAGAGUGGUACGGUAUUCUUGUCCUGGAAGUCAUGUUAUUGGACAACAAUGAACCUACGAACUAUGAAGAAGCAAUGAUGAACUCGUAUUCUGACAAAUGGCUUGAGGACAUGAAAUCCCAGAUAGGAUCCAUGUACGAAAACCGAGUAUGGACUUUGCUGGACCUGCGUGAUAACCAGCAGGCCAUUGAGAACAAAUGGAUCUUUAAGAAGAAGACAAAUGUUGAUGGUAAUGUCACCGUCUAUAAAGCUUGACUUGCCGCAAAGGGUUUUCCACAAGUUCACGGAGUUGACUACGAUGAGACUUUCUCACCCGUAGCGAUGUUGAAGUCUGUUAAGAUUAUGUUAGCAACUUCUGCAUUUUCGAUUACGAAAUCUGGCAGAUGGACGUCAAAACAACGUUCCUUAAUGGUUUCCUUAUAGGAAGAGUUGUAUAUGAUGCAACCAAAAGGUUUUGUCGAUCCUAAGGAUGCUAAUAAGGUAUGCAAGCUCCAGCGAUCCAUCUAUGGACUGGUCCAGCGAUCCAAAGGUGUUUGUUGGGUUGCAUGGAUCGAGAUUGGGAUUUGUCACUCCGUGUGGCAGAGAGAUAUCUCUAGGCCCUCUCAGUAAUACAACAUUAGAAGAAGCUUGCAAGCAUGUGAUUAAUGAGUUUAUUCAUGGGCCUUGUAUUACGGAACGAGUGACGAGACUUCCCGGUAACGAGAUUGAACUAGGUAUGGAGAUACCGCCGAUCGAAUCUCGGGCAAGUAACAUAUCGCUGGACAAAGGAAUUUCAUACAGGAUUAACCAAAUACUUGACAAUGUGGUUCAACCUAUAAAUAUCUUCGUUGAAUAUGUGGGAGUCAAUAUGGGCAUCCAGGUCCCGCUAUAGAUUAUUGAUCGAAGAGGAGUCUAGGUCAUAUCGGCAUGUUCUCGAACCCGUAGGGUCACACACUUAACGUUCGAUGGCGCAUGGUAGUAUUGAGAUAUUCAUAUGGUGAAGUUCAAAAGUAGUUCAGAGUCCCGGAUGGGAUCCGGGACAUUACGAGAAGCUCCGGAAUGAUCCGGAGGUAAAGAUUUAUGUAUGGAAGUCAUAUCAGGGUUCCAGAAAAUGUUUUUUUUUCGAUAUUGUACCAAGAUGGUUCCGGAGUGGGGCCCACCUGCAUGGGGCCCACAUGGACGUGGGUAGCGGGGCAAGGUCCCACACCCCUGGUCCAGGCUCACCAAGAUCCUCCCCUAAAAGGAAUAGGAUCAUAUCCCGAAGGGAUAAGAUCGAGAUCCCUAAAAAAGGGGAUAGCGAUCGGUGGGAAAGAAAAUGAGAAAUUUCCUUCUUCCCCCUUGGUCAACGACCCUAGGGGCUUGGAGGGCAAGCCACCAGCCCCCUCAAUGCGUAUAUAAAGGUGGAGAGGUGUUGGGGGCAGCCACCCUUCCACACUUGUCCGUCUUCCUCCCGUUACAACUACUCCACCUCGCGCGGAUGCUUGACGAAGCCCUGCUGCAGUUCCACUGCUGCCACCACCACGCCGUCGUGUUGGUUUAGAUCUCAUCUACCUCCUCCCCCUCGCUUGUUGGAUAAAGAAGUAGAUGACGCCACCGAGCCAAACGUGUGCUAAUCUCGGAGGUGCCGCACGUGCUGUGCUUGUGGAUCGUGACACAAGUACGACUACGUCAACCACGAUCUUUAGAUCGUUAACACUUUCGGUCUAGAAGGGUACGUAGACACACACUCCCAUCCGUUGCUAGCACCUUCAUAGAUAGAUCUUUGGGUGUUUCGUUGGAUUUUUUUUGUUUUUCCAUGCAACGUUAUCCAUCAUUAUUCACCUACAUUCUUACCCAUUUCCGCACUCAUCAAAUGUAUGCAGCGUGACAACGACGGUGAAUUUAUCAACACCUCACUACACACCUUUUUCUCGAACGACAACAUUAUUUACCGUCUCUCUUGCCCUCAAUGUUCUCCCCAAAACGGCAAGGCCAAGCGCAUGAUUCGCACUACCAACGAUGUCGUUCACACUCUUCUCCUACACGCCAAUCUUUGGGCGGAGGCGUUGCACACCGCCACACACCUCACCCGACGCCCAUCCACUAAAACCACACCAAAUCUAUACCUAUACUAAUUACAGACUCCCUAGAAAUUACCGCGUUAAUCAGAAAUUACUAGCCGUCCAUCUGGGGGACCGAAUCUAUACCUAUACUAAUUACAGACUCACUAGAAAUUACCGCGUUAAUCAGAAAUUACUAGCCGUCCAUCUGGUGGGACCGAAUUAUUAAGGUUUAGAUCCACCAAUAUAAUUUUUUUAGUAUAACUUUUUUAGUAUAAUUAGCUGUUACAAUUUUGCAAUUCGAGAAAUUUGCUUAAUUGGGCCGGAAAAUAAUAUUCAGGGAAAAGGUACGAAUCGUUUCUCUUCACGAUCUCCUCUAAUUAUCUAUACGUACCAGGUAACAAAAGUUUCCUUGAAAAAGAAAACCGAUUUUUUUAUCUAUCCUAACUAAUACACGUAUACUACAUGGAUUCUCUCCUCCACGAUCUCUCUUCUCCAUUACCUCUCUCUCCCACGUACUACAUGGUUCCUCUCUCCUCCAUGAUCUCUUCUUCUCCAUUAUCUCUCUCUCCUCAGAUGCAGUUACAAUUUUGCAAUUCGAGAAAUUUGCUUAAUUGGGCCGGAAAAUAAUAUUCAGGGAAAAUAAUAUUCAGGGAAAAGGAACGAAUCGUUUCUCUUCACGAUCUCCUCUAAUUAUCUAUACGUACUAGGUAACAAAAGUUUCCUUGAAAAAGAAAACAGAUUUUUUAUCUAUCCUAACUAAUACACGUAUACUACAUGGAUUCUCUCCUCCACGAUCUCUCUUCUCCAUUACCUCUCUCUCCCCACGUACUACACGGUUCCUCUCUCCUCCAUGAUCUCUUCUUCUCCAUUAUCUCUCUCUCCUCAGAUGCAAAGCAAACCCAUCCACGGUCUCUUCCCCUUUUCCACUAUCUCUCUCAAUGUCCCGAUAGAAUACAAAUCCAUAUUCUCUCUUAACCUGAAGGCAUAGAUCUGAAAAAUCUAUAGCGCCUACUACGCUCUAGCCCGACGUGCGGCUGACCACCUGAUCCAGCGCGCUGGGCAGACCCGGCUAGACACACGGCGAUAGACUUCCUCAUCUAUAUCGGAUUCGUAUAGUCGUGGUAUUUAUUCUCGGUUUGUUUUCUUGCUGACUUAUACUUGAAUCCAUCAUGACUUUUCCUUUGGAUCCAGAUUGAUUUCUUUGUGUCAUGCCGCCCUACAAAUCCUCAGGCCGCCCAACGAAUCCCCAGGCUCCGUCACCUUUGCUCGCCUCCAUCCUCACCCCCGAACAUCUGAACAGCCUUUUUGGGUACAUAUUUUGCUAUAAAGGAGUUCAGCUAUGCCAUGGUGUAUACGUGGUUGUUCAUGUGCAGCAGUGUGCAGGUCUGGAGAGGUACGUAUUGUAGUAACAAAAAUUAUCAGAUUGUGGUGCAAGAAUGCUUGGUGAGCACUGAGCAGACAUGUUGAUAAGCCAGUCACUGCCUUGUGAGGUUCACUGUUGAUGAUCAGAGACUAAUAAUCCAUAUAUGAGGACAUUUGAUUUUUCUGGUCAGGGAGUAUUCAUCGGUGGAAGACCCAUCAGUACUUGCCAGAAUAUAUAUGUACAUACCUGACUGCAACGCAUGCUUGCAUCCCGUUCCAUCUGCAGAAAAAUUGAGGUAAUUGAAUCAACUAGGUUUGAUCUGCUAUAUGUGCAAUACAAUGGAAUUUGUUGGCAAAAACAAUUAAUUUCUUAAUCCAUAUAUGAGGACAUUUGAUUUUUCUGGUCAGGGAGUAUUCAUCGGUGGAAGACCCCUCAGUACUUGCCAGAAUAUAUAUAUGUACGUACCUGACUGCAAUGCAUGCUUGCAUCCCGUUCCAUCUGCAGAAAAAUUAAGGUAAUUGAAUCAACUAGGUUUGAUAUGCAAUAUGUCCAAUACAAUGGAAUUCGUUGGCAAAAAUAAUUAAUUUCUUACUUAAGUACACAUAUGUCAGAUCAGAUCGAGGCUCAGAGCCUAGCAUAGAAUUGCAUCGGCGAUGCCGAUGGCCAUCAACAAUCCAAUAGACAUAGAUGCAUUGAGCCCAUGUCGUAGUGCCCAAAUGGCAGACCAUUGCGACUAAGUCGAAGACUUAGGUAAGCCCCAGAUGAUAAUAGCAUACAUUGUAUGUCGCUGCAUGGUAGAAUGACUCCACGAGAGAAUUUCCGUCAUGGUUGGAGACCAGAUCAUAUUAUGGCGUCCAAUAUCCACUUUAGCAGACCAAUGUGCAUGCUUUGGUUCAGCAUUCUGCAUAUAAUAAGCGACCAACAGGAGCAGCCUAUGAUGGAGUCCUAAGAAAAAUUUCAAAAACAACUGCAAGUCUAGGCUAUGUUGUGGUCUCAUUUGGGCAGAAAAACUGCUUUGAAAAUUGAGACUACUCAAGAUGGUAUAAGAUGUUUCACUUCUCAUGUUUACUGUUUUCUUUUCUACCGAGAUCUAAUUAGUGCCGUUUUCUUCUAUCAUUUUUAUAAAAUUGUAUGUACACUAUAAUACAAUUUAUAUCCUGAGAAAAUAAUAGCAUCGGAGAGCUAGCGGUUUGGGCGUAAGGGGCAUGGAGAAAACCUGGCAUUGUUCAAGGCACCGCUGCCGGACGCGUUGUUCCACAAGCCAUGUUUUCUGCUGUCCAGUACAACAGACCAGGAAAAUUAGUAGCUUCAUACAUGGAUGUUCAGGUAUGCAAUCAUCUUUUAUACACAAAUGAUCUUCAUAAUAUAAAUAUGAAUUUAGACUGCGCUAUAGCAGCACAGCUACAUGCUUCUAUAUUAUGCAUGAACUGAAGUAUGUGAUGGUUGAUCUAUGGAGGGCACACUAUACAGCAGGUACAUUUGAAAAAAUAAUACAACUUACAACUUACAUUAUCACAAUCUUUCCUGUAAAUUAAAAUCUUUGUUCCCUACCAUGGUAGUAGUAAAUAAUCCGCCAUCUAUUGUCUCAUCUCAAUAUCUCUUGCCUUGAAGCUUUAUCUAUGUGAGCUACCGGAUGACCUAUUCUAUUGCGUAGUGGCGAUUGCUACGCGUUUGGGCUGGCGUAGUCUCAUGGCCCUCAUUACAGGAUGUGUGGUAUCCUAGAAGCAGCUUCAAUCGCAGAGAAUGGGAUGCAUGCACGUGGGCAGUUUUUCGACACCUCAUGCAAAUAAAUUCAGAGCACAACCAUGCCCAUCAGGUGAGCUUACACAAAUUAAACAUCAUGUUGGUUCACAACAUCGUCGACCAUGACCAUCUGGCGAGGUUAUACAAAUUAGACACCAUGUUGGUUCACAACAUCGUAGAUGGUUCGCUGAUCUAACUAGGUGCCAAUGUUUUCUUUGGUCUGUUGUUGUCACUGUGCAUGUUAGGGAAUCAUCUUUUGUGUUCUUUUGCAGGUUCAAUUUUUUUGUAAUCCUUUAAUUUGUUAUAUCAAGUUCAACUAUUUUUCUUGGCAAUUUAAUGUUUAAAGCAAUUGCGCGUGAUAUGAUGGUCAGAUUAAUUAAGAUGUGGGAUACCAUUAACGUUAACAGUGAACUUACUUGAUGAAGAGGUCAGUUUUCUGAUUUGCCAACAUAAACAUUAUACAAUCAGUUAUAAUAGUUAUUACAAAAAUACUAGGACAUCUUCUCCCAAAAUUAUUAUUGUUUCAGGGCAUGAUACAUGAGAAGGUAAUGUAACAUAUGGUUAUCAAGUCCAGUCGCUGAUCCAAGAAGGUUCAGUCUAAGUUUACAUCUUCGCCGUAUUUCCAUCAAAUUGGAGGUGAGAAGACACCUUAUUUCUUGCACACUAAUCCAAAAAAACUAUUGGAAGAGAUUGAAUUUUUAGUUUAGACUGAAUGAAUAUAAUCUCAAUUCUCAAGUACAUUUACCAAUAUUACACUAUUUAUGCAAAAAAUCGCAGAUUUUGAAGAAGACACGUCAUUAAAGCAUACAAAUGUCGAACAAGUUCUGUUAUUUCCACCAUGAGGCUCUAUAUUGUUUUGUAUGUGCAAGCCAUAUUAAAAGUUUGUUAUGCUUUUCUAGGAGACUAUUACCAGGACACCAAAUGUCAAAAUUUAAAUGGACAGCAGGCAGACUAUAAAUCAGUUGUAAAGGUAACUAAAAAUUCUAGGAAUGGGAACAGCUCUCGUGUUGUACAUUCCGAUGGAUAAUCGGAAAAUGAGGGUAGUAUGGAGAAAGAUGAAUCCAUAUUCAAGGAAUCAAGAGUUGAGAGAAAGUAUAUAAUAGCUCACAGAUGUGGCGGCAUUCGUAGAAUACCAGAAAACAUUAUUGAGAUUAACCAUAUAAGCUUUUGUGGUGUAUUUGCAUGUUCUUUCAUAGUUUUGCAUGUCUAAUUGUUAAAAAUGAUUUUGCAGGGGCAAGUGCAAAACUUAUUUGUUCUGAAAACUAUAAAGCAAGAGCCGGAGGAUGAUGAACUCCACCUCCAUACCACCUAAAAGGAUUAGGGGAAGGAGCACAAGUCGUGUCACAUCUAGAAGAGGAAUAAAAAAAGGAAGGUACUCAGGUGUUGAUAUAAAAUCACCGAAAUAAGAUAUAGAAUGUCCAGUGUGUCCUGGACUCGAAAAUUAGUUAUAAUUGGAACAGGUACAAGCAUUCUUAUCUAACAAAAUGUAAUAUGGUCCAGAUAUAGCACCUUUUUUUAAAUUGUUCCACCAUCCAUGCGUCACAGUUUCUCCCUCUCUACCCUGCUUGCAUCUCUCAGUUCCCCUCUGCAAAAUUUUAUUUGUGAGCAUGGUAGUUCUCUAUGCAUCUACAUCUGAACAUCUACCUUUUUUGCCACUGAUGUAAACAUCUACCAUUGUGCAGCUAAUUUUUUUAGCAAGGGGUAACAACUGAUUUCAAACAAUCAAGAUGAGUUAUGUUUGCAUCACGGUUAUGAAUUUGAGACUCGGUGAAGCUAAAGAACUAUAGACGAAACAAGAACAUUUUGUCAGUACCUAUAACUUUCUUUUCUUAGACGGACCCUGAAAUUCACAUGCAGAUUUAAAAAAAUGGAAACUAGGCAAUGUGAUUCAUAUGCCCACAGUACAACAAUAACCAUUUUACAUGUUGUAUCUGCCUAGCACUGACCUUCCUCUGCUAUAAUCUCUCCAGGAUGCAAUGUUGAAUCACCUAAAAAAUGAAAGGAGGUUUGGGAUAACGUAGAGAGCGUUGUUUGACAUCUCAAAUUUUAUUUCAUAGAGAGAGGAGAUUGGAAAAAAUUUGACAGGACAUCUGCGCCAAAUGAUACUACCGAGACCGCCGACGAUCCUCGGGAAAACCUGUUACUGAUCUAAAAAGACACACAAAUUAGUAGUACCUGUGGUGUGUCUCCAUACCAAAAGUACAAUUAUUACAGAUAUAUACUUUUUUAAUAUAAAAAACUGUAAUAAAUUAUAUGGGGACUAAUUUGAGUUAACCAUCGGAAAAUGUGCAAUGAAGAUCGGGAUAAUUAUUUUUUUAAUCUUUCUAACAAUAACUUCCCAAAUGGAUGUCAGCACUCCAACCAAAUCGAUGUCAGCACUCCGACCAAAUAAUCUAUUACGCCAAAAAAAUACUCCAAUUUAUAUAAAUAAAAUGCCAUCACUUCCAAUAAAGAAAAUUUUGAAAUCGUGACAAACGCUCACUCUGGGGUAACCAAUCGUCCAUAGGAUUUUUUGAAAGCAUUAUAGAAUUGUCUAUCGAGCAUAGCAAGUCAAUCUGAGAUGCUGACGAGGAUGUAUGGAUAAAACCACUAGAUAUAAAAGCAAAUGAUGAGUAAGCAUAUGAUAAAACACCGGUUUGGACUACAAAUUAACAAGAGUAAUCUGCCUAUAAUAUUGAAUAAAUUAAGACAUUGGUUUUUAAAAAUGGAUAACGAGCUUUUUGAAUUGCUCUAAAUCCAUUAAUUAAUAUGUGAACCGGGCACAUGAAUAAUCAUGUUGUGUGUUUCAUGGGAAUACAUAUUUAUCACUACCAUAAAUAUCCUAGCCCGUGCGAAUGCGCGGGUUGACGACUAGUACCCCUAAUUUUCUUCUCACCAGCACACAUCCUCGCUAUGACCACCUACGAGUUUUCGGCUGCUUAUGCUUUCCAAAUCUCUACGCCACUAGCCCCCACAAAUUAGCUCCCUGGUCCACAAAUUAGCUCAAAUCCUGCCGUGUCAUCAUUUCUCGCCAUGUUAUAACAAUACUUCUGUAUACCCCACCCACACCCGCGGUCACACGCGCACCGGCCACACCGGAUGCCCCCUCUGCGAUCCACCUGUGCCCGAUCCACUCUGGAAUCCACCUCCCACCAACAUCGCACGCCAGCGGCCCUUGAAUGACCGCCUCAUUAAUCGGCCAGUUGGUGAGGAUUUCCAGCGGUAAUCAUGCAAUUAUUGCGACCAAAACAAAACACGUUGGUUGACUGGUUCUACUCUAUUUUCACGAUUUUUUUUUCACCUAAGUACUAUGCGUCUAGAUUACGCCGCUCCUCAUUAAAAACCCUAUGCACCUAGACCGAGGAAGCACAGUGCUCACCAACAAAGGUUGCCCGCCCACCAACCCGAAAAGUGAGGACGAGCUGUGGGAGGGAAAACAUCGAGCAAAGGCGGGGGAGGAGACGGGACAGCGCCGAGAAGGGAAAAUUUCAAAAUUUCCGGGGCAAUUGACUGGCGCCAUCCGACACCAGCUACUCCCGCCCUUCUUCCGCGGCGCGGCGCCAUAAUCCGAGAUCUGACCCUCCUUCCGCCCCCCAAAAUUCAUCACAUCAAACACCUCUCGUCUCUCCCGGGGCACCCACCUCCCGAGCUUCCUCCUCAUUUCACACCCCACUUCUCCCGCCCUUUCUCGAGCGCGUCUCCAUGGCCAAGAAAGGCGCCGGCGGUGAGGAGAGUGUGGUCGUGCCGGCGCAGACGGAGCAGGCCAAGCAAGGCCCUCCCCGAAAGCGCAACCCGUGCCCCGGAAUCCGCUGCGUCGGCGGCCGGAUCUAUGACCCGGAGAACGGGAAGACCUGCCACCAGGUGAGCGCCUGCCGUCGCGCAUCUCCCCCACCCUUUUGGAUCUGUCGGGGGCGGAUUUGGCUGACCCUUCGUUGUUGUUGUUUUCGUCACGCGCUCGCAGUGUCGUCAGAAGACGAUGGACUUUGCUGUGGCUUGCACGCAGCCCCGGAAGAAGGGGCUCUGUCCAAUCCACUUCUGCCACAAGUGCUUGUUCAACAGGUGAAAGAAUUUCUUCAUACAGUUUCAAGCCACGAUCAUCUCCGUGGUCGAGCAAACUAAACUGACCAUCGCAGAGCCCCUUGGUCUGAUCUGCUUUGCUUCUUCGUGGCUUGUUUAGGUAUGGCGAGAACGCCGAGGAUAUGACCAAGGAGGCGGGCUGGACCUGCCCCAAAUGCAGGGGCAUCUGCAACUGCAGCUUCUGCAGGUCAGCCAACGAAGCUGAUGCACGGCUAUAAUGGGAUUUCUUGUGUAUUUCUGUCUUAGCUUGGUUUUGUUUGACAGGAAGAAGAAAGGGGAGACGCCUACAGGAAUACUGGCCCAUGCUGCCAAGGCGUCAGGGCACUCGUCCGUCCAUGAUUUGCUGAUAAAGGGCUCCGACAUGGUGGUUGCUGCACAGACGCUGUCCUCGCUCCCUAAGAAGAUCAAGAAGGUACAAUUUUUCGCUUGGUAACUCUCUGCUGUAUAAUGUAAUUGCUCAUCAUUGUUCAUCUGCUUUGUUGGUCCCUUUGUUAGGAACGCAAGGAGGGCAGCUUAAAGAGGGCGCUAGGGACAGAUGAUGCUACCGGUGGAUUGUUCGCUGAAGGGGAUGAGAAUAUUAAGACUGAUCUCAAUGCACUUCCUUCAGUUCCUAUCAAAAAGAAGCUGAAGAAGAUCAAGAAGGUACAUUUUUGCCUGGCAAUUCUCUGUUGUAUAAUGUAGUUCUUCGUUAUUGUUGAUCUGUUUUGCUGGCCCCUUUGUUAGGAACACAAGGAGGGCAACAUAAAGAAGGUGCCAGGGACAGGCGAUGCUACUGAUGGAUUGUUGACUGAAGGGGAUGAGAAUACAAACACUGAUCUCAAUGCAUUUCCUUCAGUUCCUACCAACAAGGAGCUGAAGAAGAUCAAGAAGGUGGUACAUUUUUUGCUCGGUAAUUCUCUGUUUUAUAAUGUAAUUGUUUCAUUAUUACUGAUCUGUUUUGCUGGCCCCUUUGUUAGGAACGCAAGAAGGGCAACAUAAAGAAGGCCCUAGGGACAGAUGAUGGUACUGAUGGAUUGUUGGCUGAAGGGGGUGAGAAUGCAAGGACUGAUCUCAAUGCAGUUCCUUCAGUUCCUACCGACAAGGAGCUGAAGAAGAUCAUGAAGGUGGUGCAUUUUUUGCUUGGUAACUCUCUGUUUUAUAAUGUAAUUCUUCAUUAUUACUGAUCUGUUUUGCUGGCCCCUUUGUUAGGAACACAAGAAGGGCAACAUAAAGAGGGCCCUAGGGACAGAUGAUGGUACUGAUGGAUUGUUGGCUCAAGGGGAUGACAAUACAGGGACUGAUCUCAAUGCACUUCUUCCAGUUCCCAUCAGCAAGAAGCUGAAAAAGGGCAACCACAGGGUAAAUGACAUGACUGCUGAUGAAAAGUGCCCUGUUGAAAUUAAGGGCGAACUUCACAUUAGGAAUGAGAGCACUGAUGUCCCAGGGACCAAAAUUGAGCUACCCAUAGGUACUCCAGUCACUGACAUUGCAGGGGCUGAGCUGGAGGUUGAUGAUGUUGGGUCUGCACUUCAGUUUCAUGAAUUCUGCCGCACAUUUGCAGAGGUACUUAUGUCAAGACAAUCUUUCAGCUUUUACUUUCUUGUUCUGUUGUGCAAUACAAGCGCCAUGAGCUCUCUUAUGGACUAAAGAAAAUAUUCUUGUGCUGCAUUUCUUUUUAUGUUGAUGCAAGGUUUGUCAUUGGUUAUGUAUAACUGGUUCUGUUUAAAAAAAGUUUAUGUCUGCAGAACAGAAAAAGGUGUUGUUGCAUUAUGUAAUUGUUGUUUCAGCCUUUCAGGCCAAUGUUAGAACUAAAGCAAAGUGAUGUCAGCAGCUUCUCCUUUUUUUUGUUACAUUAUCCUAUGUUUGUUCUGAUGUAGAGCAGUCAGCCAUGCCAUUAGGCUUUAGUGCACAUAUUUAAUCAAAUGCAAAUAGUAUUUUAAAGUUAUAUAAAAUUCAUAGUUGUCCAGAAUGAGAGUGGCAGCCAUGGUGAAAUACUGACACGUGAUAAUGGUAACACUGUUUUGAGACGAUCCAAAUAAGUUGUAUAAAUUUCAAAGAUAUUUAUUUGCUCAUGCAGACAAUUGCAUUUUAAGACUAUAUUGGUGAUCAGGACGUGUGUGUAUGCUAGUGCAUCUAUCUCUGAUGAUCUGCAUGCGUGAUUUGACCAACCACCAGAAAGUGUAAUAUUUGUCUUACAUCUCAGAUUCAUCCUAUAUUGUCAUGGAUAUUUUUAUACACUAGAUGAUACCCUGCAUGCUGCUGUGGGAGUUGGUUGCAAUAUAUUUUAAUACUUGUUUGUGUGGAGCGUGAAUAUCUGGUUAAAUUAUAAGAUUUUAGAAGGCACAGUGAUAGUAUAUUAUAUUGAAUUGCUUAUUUUUCUUAGAGCAGCCUUUUGUCUUGAUAAGCUAGUCUUAAAAAUGGGUCUUGUUUCCAUGGUUUAACAUGUUAAUAUGGCACCUUGUGGCUGUUCGAAUAUAAUUUGUUUUGUAAAUGGAAUAAUGUCGCAAAUGAUUUUUUUGCGCAGGUUCUUAAAAUAAGAAAGGGACAGCCAGAAAAAGUUCUUCAAGUCAUCACUGGAGGAGGCCGUAUCGGGCGAGAGGUGCCUUCAGUUGUUGCUGACCUUCACAUUAGUUUGUUAUCUGUCAUCCAAGAAGACAGAGAAGAGAAGUACUUACAUUCUGAAUUGAUAUUUCUUUGUUGUUGUGUUUAAACUGAUUGUUAAAUGACUAAAUGAGGUUAUUUUGUUCAUAGCCCUUCGGACUAUUCAAGGAAUGGUGAUGCUUGGAUAAUUGAUACUGGCAAAUAUAUUAGUGAAUCCACAGUUAUCUCGAAGGAACUGCCUGUUGAUUGUUUAAGUCAAGGGGUAUUAGGAUAUAAAAAAUUGAGCCCUUCUUUAAAGCUGCAUGUGCUGAAUUUUCUGUGUGAUGAGGCCCUUUCUACUGCGUAAGUACUGCCUACUGUAUUUGCUGUAGUAGUUCACUUCGCUAUUUUACUUUCAUAUCAAUAAUAUUUUGUUUUUGUUCAGAACAUUAAAGAACUGGGUUCUCAAACAGCAUGAAAGUGCAACUGAGAGAAAGGUUGCUGCAAGGGAAAAAUUCCGUGCUGUCAAGGAAAAGGUAAGAGAGCUCGGGCAACCUUUUUUAUGUGUGUCUAGUCACUUGCUUUUUUUUACACUAAUAAACAACCACUUUCCUCUGGUUUUAUAGGAAAAGGAGCUUAAAGAAAAACUAACUAUUAAGAUGGCUAAACCAAGGUUUUUGAGAAAUGGAGCAGAAAUUAAUAGUCUCGUUUCUCAAAUUAAGGAGGCAUAUGAAGACAAGAAGGCAGUAAUAGAUGGUCUGAACAUUAUGAAUUUAUAUAUCUACAUUUUUUUAUCUUUCUGCAUCUCAUUAGUUCUCCGUAUGCUUGAUGUUUUGCAGUUUCUUUAAUAUAUCUUUUUGUAUUGUGCUUGGUUUAGCUUUCUGCACUUUCUUCAAGAUUUAGCUUGAGUUUGUGUACAAAAAAUGUCACCAGUUCAUUUAUACCCCUGUAUAUGUGAAUUCACUUCAGUUUUGUUAAUUGAGUGUUAAGCCUGUGUAUAUUUUCAUUGUGGUACUAAUAUUUUUCUGCAGCUCAACAGAACAUUAAACAUGUAUGCACUUACUAAGUUUCUUAGUUGCAUGUAGCCAUGUGCCUUUUUCUGGAUGUGAAGUAACUAAAGAACAUGCUCAGCCUUCAGUUUCAUUCCAAACAGAACACUGUUUAAAGAAUAUAUAUCUUAUUCUGUAAUGUGCAAGGCACUGAGCUGUGUGAACUAAUUAUCUUCUGUUACCUCUCAAUUAUGGCAAUAUCAGAGGAGAAGCUGGGAGGUCUAGUUAGGAAAAAGCCUGUCAGGAUAGAUGAAGGGGUUGCGUACUGGAAGCUGGAUGGUUAUUGUGAUAAGACAGCAAUAAUGCGCCAAGGUUUGUCUGAAGUUAUUAUGCAAUACCCUUUCAUGUUACUCAUUUAUAUUGUUGUAGUUAGUGACUACUAAUAUCAUAUUUGUAUCAGAGUUUGACGCAACAGAGAACACUGACAAGUGGUUUAUGUUCACCGAGGAAGAAGAAAAAGUAAUCAAAGGUCAUGUAGCCCCAAGGUAAGGAGUUUACCAUUUAUUUAGAAGUUUUUUUUUCCUUUAUGAAGAUAGUAUACUUGUUGUUUAAGAACUAUCAAUUCACUAAAGUUUAGAUCCCCAAUUUUUUAUCGUUGCACGGUGCUAUCGUUAUUUGACAAGUCUGACUAGCAAUGUAACCAAAGUAUAAUCAUGAGUUUCUCUUGGUUCCCACUUACUAGUAUAUGUCCUGUUGAGAUUAUUCACAUCUAACUUGGGCCCUGUUGUAACUGGUUAAUAUAGGCCCCAGUUGAAGCGCAAAAACAAAACACAUACCUUGGCUGGGCACAAUGCUCUACCGAUCUCAAGCUCCAUGAAAACUCAGACUCCUGUUUCAGCUGUUUGAAGGUAUUUAUUUGAUCCUUUUGCUGUUCAUUUUUCCUAGACCCAAUGGCAUGCCACACUUCCAUACAACCGAGACUGAAAUGUGUCAUGUUACAAUGGCACCGUCAUGAGAGCGCAUUUUUGGAACCUGGGUACAUGUGAACCCAAUUUUGAAAACUUGGAGAAAGUUGUUUUUGUAAGCUGUGAAAAAUUAUAAGAAAAAAAAACCCACACAAGUAGAUGGUGGGUAGAAAGUUGUCCUUGUGAAUUCCUACCCAACACCUACAUGCAUGGGUUUCGUUGUAACUUUUCAUAUGUCAAACACUUAAGAGUGGUGAUUUUUGAUACGUUUGGAAAAGUGGCUGAUGGCACGUCAUUGAAUGUUUUGUUUUGGCAGGUGGAUGAGCUAUGCUAGCUGAGGAAUGGGGCGCUGCAGAGGAUAUAAGUGGCUGAGCUUUGCUGUAGGGAAGUUACGCAACUGCAGAAGAGCCAACAACUAUCUGAAGAUGCAGUCACAGCAUUCUAUUCCCUGGGUCAUGCCAUGUUUUGUCUGGAUUGGAACUUUGGAAGUUGUUAUUUUUACGUUGCAAUUGUUCUGUACAUGUUAUUACUAGUUUAAGGGAAGGUUUCUGUGAAACAUCCAUUGCAUUGGUCUGAAUAAUCAUCGUUUGAAUGUUCUCACUAUGGUUGUAUAAUCAAAUCGUCCUGUAGCAUGCAUGUACCAACAAAUUGACUUCACUGUACUGUAUCUGGUGAUCAUGUUAUUACUCAUGCUCCUACUCUUUUAUGGUCAUCUUAUGCUACUCUGGAUGAGAGCUGUGUAUGUUAUGCCACAUAUGUCAAAUUUAUGCAUUUCAACACUGUGGUGGGUUUAUGAUGUGCAUGAUCAUGCUGUUCUGUUGAUCAUUGUUUUGCUCCUUUACGUCAUGCUGACCAUUUUGCUAUUUUUCUUCCUGUACAAACCUGAAACAUGCAUUCAUUCUGCUAUACAAAUUUGAGUUUCUAUGUUAUAUCCAGUUUGCUUAUUUCAAAGCUGUCUACAUACUGAAUAGGAGCAACAUUGCACAUACACAUUAUUUUCUGGAAACUUUUUUUCCCUAUGUGCAUGUUUUUAGAAUAUGCUGAACCAUAGAAUCUCCAACUGGAAACGUUUCUGGCCGUGACAGCUAAGGUCGGGAUGGAAAGGAGAAAAAAAAAUGGAAAGGGAAGAAUUAUCUGUAUUUCCAGCAUUUCAGCAUCCAUCUUUGGCAAUCAGUAAAUGGCAUGGUUAAUUCUGUUGUAACUUGUAACCGCUGGGUUUUUCUUUUUGCGGAAUAACCGGUGUAUUUUUUGCAACAGUAUGUCAUACUGGUUUAACGCUUGAUGCGUUUACAUGUGUCAGAUUAUGAUAAUCCUGUUUGCCUAGCCAGUUUUUGUAUUUUAACUCACCAUUUGGUUAACAGCUAUGCUUAUUUCCCAUACCAGUUACAAAGUACUCCCUUCGUUCCGAUUUAUUGAACUAAAACCACGACGAGUAAAUCGGAACAGAGGGAGUAAGUCCGGCACAACUUAGUCCAAUGACCAUAAACUGAGCCUAAAAACUACUGCACUAUUCAAAGUUCAGAAUCAGCGGGUAUGAAAUUGAGAAGUUAAUAAUAGUGCAAGAUCAUAGAGGUUACGGACCUCUUUGAUUUGGAAGAUUCUCAAAAGACAGUGUCGGUGGAAACGACACCUAUGGGAUCACUGGAUCCCUUCUACGGUUGGCGUGUGCGGGGUUGUGCAAAGAGCGGGUCUGGUAGUCAGCACAAGGAUCGUUUACCCAGGUUCGGGCCGCGAAGAUGCGUAAUACCCUAGUCCUGCUUUGAUGUAUAUUUGAGUGUUCUUGAGCUCUCGAACUAGCUACGGGGCGUGCGUAGUCCAAAAGAUCCGAAUCCUCCCCCAGUACGCCUCGGACCUUCUUUUAUAGACGAAAGGGGUUGCCACAGUGGCACACAAGAGGUGGAAAGGUAUAUAGUGUACAAGCUUAUCGCCUGUCAUUACGGGACAAGGUGCAUUAAAUUCGCCCCUUAGGUGUCCCGUUGCUUUAUUGGGGACGGCAACGAGGCCCGUCCCGUCCGUCACCGCCCCGCCUCGCUCCGACACGCGUCCAGGCCAACAAUGCAUGCAGCGCCACGUAGGCUGACAGGCUGCUGAGAUGGCGUGGUGGUAGGGUCUUCACGAAGAUCUGCAUGCCACCACGCAGGUGCUUGCUGAGUUGGCCUGGAAGCCGCACGUUGCCACGUAGGUGCCUGCCCAGCUGGUUGGGCUGGCAGUUGUAUGGGAACGACGGUGGAGUCUUGGCAGACGUGGGUCUGGCUGUGGCCCCGCAGGUGUCCUCGGCAAGGGUCUUCCGUGGCAUCGCGGUCGUCCCCGGCAAGGAUCUUGCAGGAGGUCUCAUGGAUUUCCUCGGCGAGGAUCUCGCGAGGAUCGUCGUCUUAUGGUCCUCAUCUGAUCUCGUGUCUUUAUGAUCUUCACAAAGAUCUGCAUGCCACCAUGGAGGUGCCUCCCGAGCCUUGGUUCCAAUGUGGUUGAUGGUGUUGGAACCCUUGGGCUCAAGGGUGGCGCGCUCUGUUAGCGUUGGGCAAGUUGCCCCGACAAGGCUCUUGCCGGGGCUGCGGAGGCCGCCCCGCAAAGGUCUUGCCGGGGGAGUCCACCCCGCCCUCUUGCUCUUUGUGUCUCUGGUCUUGGCGUUGUUUCGCCCGUCUUGUGCUUUCGGCUGGAGCGCUGCUCUGGUAUUUUUGUGCUUCUGCUCCCUCCCCUUGCCCUGCUAAGUGUGGCCGCAGGUGCGGCUCUGACUGCCUGUGCACAAGUAGAGGGGUAAAAAAGGAGAGCCCCUACUUUUGUACACUGACAGGAGCCCCCGGGCCUGGGCCACACAUAAGCGCAACGCGUUGUCGGGCUAGGCCCAGAACGGUGCGCGGGCAGGCGAGGCGGAUUUUUACCGCAGUAACUCCUUCGCCCGCUGCGCUUCCCCACGACCCGUGUUGAAUGCGCGACAUGGAGGGUCGUGCAUGACGUGGGGGUCAUGCGUGGGGCGGUUCCUGCCCUCAUGCGUCACAUCGUGGUAAAGAGGCGGCUCGCGCCUUCCUCAUAAAAAGAGGAAGACGCAGGGGCGCGGCUCAUUUACUGAGUGGACUCGGGUCGUGGCCUUCGAGGCGCCCGUGCCCUACGAUCACGGGGUGGAGAACGGUCGCCUCCCUCGGCCCCUCGAUUUCUGUUUGCUCGCCACGUGUCCCCCAUGCCUUGAAGAUGGUAGGUGGCGGGUGCGGGCCUUGAAUGACGAGGCGGGAAACCGGGCCGCUGCUGAUUGGAGCCGCGGGUCGGUCUCGAUUCCUCGCGCUCCUGAUGGCCGGAUUGGUUGAGUGGGGCGGCCGAGCCCCGACCCCGCCCCUUUAUAAGAAGGGGAGGGGGGACGGCACUCCUCAAUCUUUCACCAUCCGCCUCCUUCCACCUUGGCUUCUUUCUUUCUUCUGCUAUGGCGAGAGGGCGCGCUGGUGCUUCGACGGUGGCGACGAGGGUCUCCGCUCGACAGCGCGCCCCUCCUUCCCAAGAGCUCAUGGCGGCGGAGCCGGCCACGAGGGGCGCACCGGCCUCGCCUCCGACGGCGGUCCCUCCCCCAAUGGAGGGCCACGUCGGGACCAGCCUCGCGAGUUCUUCAUUAGGCUGCACCGGCCAGCACGCCGCCGUCUUCGUCUCCCUACUCCAUUCGCUCGGGAGAUGGAGCUCGACCCGCCACAGACUCUGAGAUUGCAUAUGAGGGGCUGCGCGAAUGGCGGCACGCGGGUUGAUGUCGAUUUUCCCGCCCCUCACAUCAUGUAUCUUCGUCGCGGAUGGAAGACCUUCGCUCGCAUCCACAGCCUGACGGCGGGGCUCGUUCUCUAUUUCAAAUUAAUGGAGAACAGCCUGCUCUCCGUCAAGGUCUUUGGAGACUUUGGAACUUGCCUAAAGUGCUGUGUGGAGAGCUCCUCCGAUGACGAAGACUCUUUCUCAAGCGGGAGUGACGAGGAGGACAACGACAGCGACGAUGAGGGUGCCGAGCGGGGGAACGCCGACUCCGACUGACCGCGCCGCCCCUCCCUUGGCCACGUGCCCUGCCGAGGGCCUUCCUCGUCAAGCUCUCCAUCGGCGCGUUCCCCAUCGCCCCCCUUUUGCCUUCACCUGCCGCACCUAGGAGGAAAAGGGCAAGAACGGGGAUCACGCGGCACUUAUCUUUUUUAGUUUGUAAGCCUACGGGCCUUAGUAGAAUUUAGACCUUGUAAUCCCCUCGCUCGUGUACUCAUUCCGUAUGAAUUGUACUUGUUUACAACGUAUGAAUGAAAAGAAAGGUGUUUGCCGGGUUUUGUUUGUGCGUGGGCGAGGGCCACACCGAGGAACGCGUCCUCGUUAUCUUAAGAUAAACAUUGUAUCCCGGCAAAAGGCCUUGCCGUCCUCCUGCUCUAUAGCUCGGCUACACUCAUGCCCUUGGCGGAGGUAGGGGCCGAGUAGGAUUAGGCCCUUCGCUCGCCCCCUUCCCAUCGCACUACAACCAAGUUCCGGCCCAAAGUAAGGUUUUCGGACACGGGACAAAGGGAGCAAGAUGGUAUGAGAGCGAGCAAAGUCUUAUACGUUCAAGUUUCAUACGGAGGCACAGAGUGGGGGAGAAAGACUUAUCUGAUGUCGCAGCCCCUGGCAACCUUGGCUUGCCGUGACUGGAUUCUCAAACCUGCAGCCCCUGGCAACCUUGGCUUGUCGGGGUCCGGGCGUCGGCCUGUUCUCUUUUCUCCCAAAAUAGCUCAGCAGAAAUGUCCAUGCACCCUGCCAACCAAACAAGGAUGGGAAGGAACAGAGAUAUGCAUACUCGACCUCUAUGCUAAGGGUUAGUCGCCGCCAAGAACUAUCAACCCUAACACAGAGAGAGACUCAACCUAGCAUGCAUGCUAAAACUUAGGGCGCCAGCGCUUCAUUUAUUUAUGCUCAGGGUCUGCGCCUGGCUUUGUACAAAGGGUUACAUGCCUUGCCGGCAAGGCUUGUACAAAAGGUGGUUUGCCGGGGAGCCCGGCAAUCGCGCCUUAUGGGUAAAACUUGCGAAGAUGUUCGAUGUUCCAGGAGUUGCUCACUAGAAUGCCAUCUUCGGUCUCCAGGCGGACUGCGCCGGGCCUGGUGACUCGUAUUACCCGAUAAGGGCCUUCCCACUUUGACGUCAACUUGUUGGAAUUCUUGGCCGACUGAACGUGCCGAAGAACAAGGUCGCCUUCCUCAAAGCCUCGGGCAUGAACCUUGCGGCUAUGGUAGCGGCGCAAGGCUUGCUGGUAGCGUGCUGCUCGCACAGCUGCCCGAAGACGAUCUUCCUCAAGGAGCGUUGCGUCAUCUUGCCGCAACGGCUCUUGCUCAAGCUCAUCAUAAGUGAGCACUCGAGGUGACCCGUACGUGAGUUCUGUGGGGAGAACUGCUUCUGUCCCGUAAACGAGGGAGAAAGGUGUCUGGCCGGUGGCUCGAUUUGGUGUCGUUCUGAGAACCGCUGGCAAUUCAUCAAUCCAGCAUCGUCCGCACCUGCGUAGCCUGUCAAAAGUCCUUGUCCGGAGGCCUCGCAACACUUCAGCAUUUGCCCUUUCAGCCUGGCCGUUGCUCCGUGGAUGUGCAACAGAAGCAAAACAGACCUUGCUGCCGAGGUCCUGGAUGUACUGCAUGAAGGCGUGGCUCGUGAACUGUGUACCGUUGUCGGUGAUGACUCUAUUUGGCACACCAAAACGGCAGACUAGCCCCUUGAAGAAUUUGACGGCUGAUUGUGUUGUCACCUUUCUCACUGCCUCCACCUCCGGCCACUUUGUGAACUUGUCGAUUGCAACGUACAAGUACUCAAAGCCCCCGACAGCACGGGGAAAGGGGCCCAGUAUGUCGAGCCCCCAGACCGAGAAUGGCCAGGAAAGAGGGAUUGUUUGGAGAGCUUGAGCUGGUUGAUGAAGUUUCUUUGAAUGGAACUGACACGCUUCACACUGGGUUACUAGUGCCGUUGCAUCUUGGAGGGCUGUGGACCAGAAGAAACCUUGCCGGAAUGCCUUGCCGGCAAGGGCCCUCGACCCUAUGUGGGAGCCACAUAUGCCUCCGUGUAUCUCUGCCAACAACUCCAGUCCUUCCUCCCGGGGAACGCUCUUCAAUUUCACACCGUUUGGUCUUUUUCUGUACAGAACGUCGUCGACGAACUGAUACGUGACAGACCGACGUGCUACUUUCUCUGCUUCUUCCUGCUCCUCAGGGAGUUCCCCUGUUUGGAGGAAUCAGACGGUAUGCCGUGCCCAUGCCGGAGCCUGCGGCUCGACGGCAAGGACCAAAGGCAUUUCCUCUAUCAUGCGAGCGGUUGUCUCUAUGGACAGGUGUAACACCCCGAGAAUCAUGCUACAGUAACUCUCUGUGAUUAAGCUAAUCAUGUUGCUAAACAGGGCUUGAUCACAUUGGAAUCACAUUUCUUUUCAAACUCCUAAUUCAAACUUCAAUUAAAUUUAAAGUGGAAAAUAAAAGUUUUCAAAAAUUUAAACAAAAAUGUUCGGGCCAUGCCAAAUAUUACAAGGGUAAUUAUACUAAAGAAAACAUAUUUUUACAAAAUGCCUGAAUAAAUUAAAUUGAAAUAAAACAGAAAAGAAAAUAAAUAAAUAAAAAGAAAAUACAAAAGAAAACAAAACAAACAAAGAAAAAAAGGAGACGGAGAAGCCCCCCCCACUGGACCCUGGCCCAACUGGGCCGACCCCAGGCCCAGCCGACCUGGCCCACCUCCCCGGGUCGCCCUCCCCUUCCCUGUUCCCCCGACCGGGGUCGGAACAGGGGCAGGUCCCCGUCGCACCCCCUCGCCGGCGACGGGGGAGGAUAAGGCCGCCCCGACGCCUCGGCCUCCGCCCAUCCCUCCCACUUGCCCCUCUCGCUCGCCUCUGCGCCUCUCCCUCUCCCCCCAGAUCCACGCCGCUCCCUCCUUCCCCACCGCCCGAGCGCGGUCGCCGACGUGUCGCCGUCGUUCCCGCGGCCACCGAGCCCCGUUCUCCUCCCCGACGUGUCCACGAGCUCCGCCGCGUCGAGCCCGUCCUCCCCGACCACCCGCUCGAGCCGGGACCCCCCUACAUCACCCCCAAUGCCAUCGCCUUCUUCCUCGGGUCGCCGCCGUCUUCUUCGACUCCGGCGACUGCUGCUGCUACUAAGCCUCUCACCGGCCUCCGUGUGCCGCGCGGUGAGCUCCUCUACCUCCUACCCUUCUCCGUUUGCUCUCGCGCGAACCUUAGCUAGCUCUCACGACGAGGCCGAACGCGUCGCCGCGGAGCUCGCCGCCGACGCGUCUCCGGUGACGUUUGGUCACGGGCCCGUACCCAUUAGACUCGCCGCACCACGUAGUUACUCCCCAGCCUCUCCGUUUGCUCGAUAGCACGCCGUAGCUCCGUUUUCGUCGAGCACCCGUGCACGCCGCCACCUCCGCCGCUCGCCGGCGCCGAUUCCGGCCAAGUCCGGCGAAGCUACGGCCACCACUGGAUGCGGCGCUGCGAGCUCGUUCGAAUGAGACUAGCCCUGCUCCUCCCCGAGCCCCGUAGGCGAAAUCCGGCGAGAUCCGAGACGCGCCGCCGCGUUUGGCGUCGCCGGCGUUGAGCCGCCGGCCGCGCUGAGCUGGCACACCUGGGGCCACCCCCUGGGUCACUGCCAGUGGGCCCUCUGGCCCCCUGUUGACCUGUUGACCAGUUGACCUGGUCAACUGGGCUGACUGGGCAGGCCCCAGCCACUGACGUGCGGGCCCCACCACUUAAUCCGAUAAUUAAAACAUUUUAAUAAUUAAAACUAAUUAGUUUAGAUAAUUAGACUAUGACAGGUGGGGUCCAGUAGUUAAUUAAUCUAAUUUUAGUUAAUUUAAUCUUCUGAUUAGUCCACUGUCUAUGACAGGUAGGACCCACCUGUCUGGUUUGACUGGUCAGCUGACCUGUUGACCUGCUGACGUCAGCAUUACCUCAUGCUGACGUCAUAAUUCAUUUUUUCUAAAUUCAAAUAAUUCCAGAAAUUCAAAUAAUCUUUGAAAAUUCAUAUCUUUUAAACCGUAACUCGGAUGGAAAUGUUUUCUACAUGAAAGUUGCUCAGAACGACGAGACGAAUCCGAAUACGCAAUCCGUUCGUCCACCACACCUCCCUAACCUAUCGAACUAGCAACCUUCCCCCUCCGGUCCGUCUGUCCGAAAACGCAAAACAUUGGGAAUACCUUCCCGGAUGUUCCCCCCCUUCGCCGGUACCACCUACUGUCGCGUUAGGACACACCUCGCACUGCUCAUUGUCAUGUCACGCAUCGUCAUGUUUAUGUUUGCAUUGUAUUUACUUUUUCUUCCCCCCUCUUCUCUUCGGUAGACUACGAGAUCGACACUGCUGCUGCCCAGUUCGACUACGGAGUUGACGACCCCUCCUACUUGCCAGAGCAACCAGGCAAGCCCCCCCCUUGAUCACCAGAUAUCGCCUAUUCUUCUCUAUACUGCUUGCAUUAGAGUAGUGUAGCAUGUUACUGCUUUCCGAUAUCCUAUCCUGAUGCAUAUCCUAUCCUUGCUACUACUGUUGUUACCUUUACCUGCAAUCCUACAUGCUUAGUAUAGGAUGCUAGUUUUCCAUCAGUGGCCCUACAUUCUUGUCCGUCUGCUGUGCUAUACUAUCGGGCCGUGAUCACCUGGGCGGUGAUCACGGGUAUAUACUUAUAUACUAUAUACAUGACACAUGUGAUGACUAAAGUCGGGUCGGCUCGUAGGAGUACCCGCGAGUGGAUCUUUGUGGCGGAGCGACAGGGCAGGUUGAGACCGCCUAGGUGAGAGGUGGGCCUGGCCCUGGUCGGCGUUCGCGGUUACUUAACACGCUUAACGAGAUCUUGGUAUUUGAUCUGAGUCUGGCCAUUUGGUCUAUACGCACUAACCAUCUACGUGGGAGUAGUUAUGGGUAUCCCGACGUCGUGGUAUCAGCCGAAGCUCUUUUGACGUCAGCAACUGAGUGGCGCGCGCCGCAUUGGAGCGUAAGCUCGCGCUUGUAUUAAGGUGGCUAGAUCUGCUUCCGGCCGCGUACGCAACGUGCAGGUGUGCAUAGGGCGAUGGGCCCAGACCCCUGCGCGCAUAGGUUUAGACCGGCGUGCUGACCUCUCUGUUGAGCCUAGGUGGGGCUGCGACGUGUUGAUCUUACGAGGCCGGACAUGACCCAGAAAAGUGUGUCCGGCCAAAUGGGAUCGAGCGUGUUGGGUUAUGUGGUGCACCCCUGCAUGGAAGUUUAUCUAUUCGAAUAGCCGUGUCCCUUGGUAAAAGGACGACCCGGAGUUGUACCUUGACCUUAUGACAACUAGAACUGGAUAUUGAAUAAAAUACACCCUUCCAAGUGCCAGAUACAACCCGGUGAUCGCUCUCUAACAGGGCGACGAGGAGGGGAUCGCCGAGUAGGAUUAUGUUAUGCGAUGCUACUUGGAGGACUUCAAUCUACUCUCUUCUACAUGCUGCAAGAUGGAGAUGGCCAGAAGCGUAGUCUUCGACAGGACUAGCUAUCCCCCUUUUAUUCUGGCAUUCUGCAGUUCAGUCCACUGAUAUGCCCCUUUACACAUAUACCCAUGCAUAUGUAGUGUAGCUCCUUGCUUGCGAGUACUUUGGAUGAGUACUCACGGUUGCUUCUCUCCCUCUUUUCCCCCUUUCCUUUCUAUCUGGUUGUCGCAACCAGAUGUUGGAGUCCAGGAGCCAGACGCCACCGUCGACGAUGACACCUACGACACUGGAGGUGCCUACUACUACGUGCAGGCCGCUGACGAUGACCAGGAGUAGUUAGGAGGAUCCCAGGCAGGAGGCCCGCACCUUGUUCGAUCGGUAUCCCAGUUUGUGCUAGCCUUCUUAAGGCAAACUUGUUUAACUUAUGUCUGUACUCAGAUAUUGUUGCUUCCGCUGACUCGUCUGUGAUCGAGCACUUGUAUUCGAGCCCUCGAGGCCCCUGGCUUGUAUUAUGAUGCUUGAAUGACUUAUUUAUGUUUUAGAGUUGUGUUGUGAUAUCUUCCCGUGAGUCCCUGAUCUUGAUCGUACACAUUUGCGUGCAUGAUUAGUGUACGGUCAAAUCGGGGGCGUCACAAGUUGGUAUCAGAGCCGACUGCCUGUAGGAAUCCCCCUUUCCACACUCCUUGGCCGCAGUCGAGUCUAGACAUUACAAGAACUUUUACUAACAUGGCUGUGUGUCUUACGGGCCCACGUCUCCAUUGGGUGGUACUAUGAUCUUUUACUCCUCGACCUUUACUCUGGGACUCUGAACUCUCUUCUACUCGGGUUAAACGAAUUUACUAACUCUAACACUAGGAUCCCGUGACCACAUUCACCCCAAAGUUGGAUAAGCCAUAGUUGUUUCUUAGAAUAGUAUUUUGAACAAUUCACACACUGUCAUUUGACUCCUUUGAAACGUCUUUGCUUUCAGAUGGAACCCUUGAGGCAGGUCGUUCGCCACACGACGGCCAUUGGUGCCUCGGGAUCACCUGCGGUGCUAGCUGAGAUGAUGGCCCAUUUGGGUUAUCGCUGGCACCCUGAGUACACCGUCUACGAGGAGUACCAGGACUUUAACCAGGAGCAGUACCGUGUCAUCGUCCACCUCUACUCUCGGGAGUACGACUCCACUACUGUGCUGCACACCGCACAUGGUGUUGGUGUGACCAUCGAUAUGGCUGUCCACGAUGCUGCCUAUGCUGCUCUGACGCGUCUUCGUGGAGAGUAUCGGGAGUUGGACACCUCCCCUUUCAGGCACAUUGCUAUCGCAUCUGAUGUUGGUGCGGAGGGAUACUAUACUGCUGCCUACUCCACUGUCACCCGAGAGCCCUUCUACCAUCAGAACCUGGUUCUGCAUGCUGAUGGGCUGGAUCGAGCUAACCGAGCUCUUCGCCACGAGAUGUACACCACCCGUCAGCACCUUUACCGUGCUCUGACGCUGUUGCACCCCUUUGUCCGAUCUGGACAGGUACCGCGUACUGCGAUCUACCCAGCCAGGACCGUGAUGCCCCACGGUGUCGGUUGGCCAGAGGUGGGAGGCUACUCCCUUGCACUUGGUCCUCUUCUGCCACCUGAGCGUCGGGCUCUACACCUGAGUAUCCGCGCCCCCCAGUCUGCUGACGUGGAGGGCUAUCCGUUGCCUCACUACCAGCUGUCGGGCUACGAUUACCUCCACAGUACCUCUUGGGACUGAUGUAGUCUUGCUUAGUUAGUAUUAGUUGCAGUCGCCGCGAGCCUGUGUGCCGCCUAUGUUGUUUUAGUCUAUGUACUGAACUCUAUGCAUGACCCCUUUUGUAAGUUAUGCCGACUACUAUGUAGUAGCUAUCGUGCUCCUUUCAUUAUGCAUGUUUCAUCAUGAAUGAUUCUUGUCUUUGCAAAUUUCUCAAUGCUGAACUACCCCUGUUAUAUAUUAGCAGGAUGGUUAGACCAGGUGGUCGUGGUCGUGGUGGCGAUGCCCCACCACCACCUGAGUACAUGGUUGGUAUGAUCCAACAGUUUGAACUGAAUCGCCAAUUCAUGGAAAAUAUGAUGGCUCAGUUUCCUCGCCCCAAUAUGAACCAGCAGCCAGCCCAAGUGACUCUUCAAGAUUUCAUACGCCUCAACCCAACCAUCUACCGCAGCUCAACUCAGCCUCUGGAUGCUGAUGACUGGCUCCGUGACAUCACCUAUGAGAUGAAGUCUGCUGAUGUAGCCCCUGCCAGCUAUGUCACCUUUGCUUCCUUCUUCUUGAAGGGACCCGCAGCUCAAUGGUGGGACAGCCACAGGCGUACUCUGCCAGCUGGAACAAUCAUCACAUGGCCAGACUUCCAAGCAGCUUUCCGUGCCCGCUUCAUUCCACAAGGAGUCAUGGACCGGAAGAAGCGUGAGUUCCGCAACCUCACCCAAGGCAACAAAACUGUUGAAGCUUAUCAGCGGGAGUUCCUGGACUUGUCUCGCUAUGCUGAAGAGGACAUUGCAACUGAUGCACGCAGACAGGAGAAGUUCCGUGAUGGCCUUCAAGCUGACAUCAAGCUCGCACUUCUAGUACAUGACUUUGCUGAUUUCGCCACCUUGGUGAACAAGGCCAUCAAUGUCGAAACUGGUCUGCAGGAAUACCAGAGCUCCCACAGACGCAACCGUGACACGGGCUCAUCUUCGGGCUCGCCCUCACAGAAGCGUAAGAUAUGGAUCCCGAACAGCAUGUACCGUCCAAAUGCAUCUGCCCCAAGGCAGACCUAUGCUGCACCUCGUGUGCCUCCACCACCAUCUAGGCAGUCAAGACUUCCAGCUCCACCAUCCCAAGCUCCUGUUCCCACUCCCAAUAAUGGUCUGUGCUACAAGUGUGGACAACCAGGUCACCGUGCCAGGGACUGCAAUCAGAAUCAGAAUCAACUUGCCCUUCCAGCAACGGGCCGUGGUAACAACCAGCCCCGCAACAACAAUGCUAAGUCUUAUGGUCGUGCUCAUGCCAACCACGUUGAUCUCAACGAAGCUCAAGACCAGCCUGCUACUGUGAUGGGUACACUCCUCGUAAAUUCAGUACCAGCAUCCGUUUUAUUUGAUACAGGUGCAUCGCAUUCAUUCAUGUCAGAAGAUUUUGCAUACAAGCACGACGUUAAAUGUGAGGAGAUGAACACCUCUGUAUUGGUCAAAACCCCCGUGGGACAGUGUCAAACCUCCCUGGUUGGCAUCGAUGUCCCCGUGGAAAUCGAAGGGCUGGAAUUCUAUGCCUCCCCCAUUAUCCUGAAGUCGUCUAACAUCGACCUCAUUUUGGGUAUGGAUUGGUUGAAAGCGCAUACUGCUUCUAUAGUUUGCGCCACUAAGACCGUCCAUCUACUUCACCCUUCAGAUGAAAUAGUUGCUUACCAAGCUCAUCUGGUGCAAAAUGCCGAGGCCAGGCUCUAUGCAUUGAAUGCAUUGAACGCUGCACCACUCGAGGGCAUUGAAAACAUUCCCGUCGUGCGUGAAUUCCUCGACGUCUUCCCUGAAGAACUUCCAGGGAUUCCCCCUGCUAGAGCUGUCGAAUUCAUCAUCGACUUGAAACCAGGCACCACUCCUAUAGCCAAGCGACCCUACAAAAUGCCGCCGCAUGAACUCCUUGAGCUUAAGGAGGAAAUCGACAAAUCUCUUCGCAAAGGAUUCAUUCGCCCAAGUUGCUCUCCUUGGGGAGCACCUUCUCUCUUUGUCAAGAAGAAGGAUGGGACAAACUGGUUAGUUCAAGACUACCGUCCUAUAAACCAAGCUACCAUUCAGAAUAAAUACCCUCUUCCUCGGAUCAAUGAUCUAUAUGAUCAACUGGCGGGUUCGUCAGUGUUCUCUAAGCUCGACUUGAGGUUGGGUUACCACCAGAUCAGUGUUCGCGAAGAGGAUAUCCCAAAGACCGCCUUCGUGACUCGCUAUGGUUCAUACGAGUACACCGUCAUGUCUUUCGGUUUAACCAAUGCUCCAGCCACCUUCUCUCGUUUGAUGAACUAUAUAUUCAUGGAUUACCUCGACAAGUUCGUUGUGGUUUAUCUGGAUGAUAUCCUGGUAUUUUCCAAGAGCGAAGAAGAACAUGCUGAACAUCUUCGACUUGUGCUGGAAAAGCUACGAGAGCAUCAACUAUAUGCCAAGUUCUCCAAAUGUGAAUUCUGGCUACCCGAAGUAACCUAUCUCGGGCAUGUCAUCUCUAAGGAUGGUAUUGCCGUCAACCCUGAACGAGUUCAGGCUAUUCUUGAUUGGACUCCUCCCAAGAACGUUAAGCAAGUCAGAAGUUUUCUCGGUCUCGCCAGCUAUUGCCGUCGAUUCGUCAAGAACUUCUCCAAGAUCGCCAGGCCUCUGACUAACCUGUUGCAUAAGGGCGUCAAGUUCCAAUGGACAGACAAAUGUCAGGAAAGUUUCCAGGCACUCAAAGACAAGUUGACUUCUGCUCCAGUUCUAGCUCCACCUGAUACUAAGAAGGACUUUGUCAUUUACUGCGACGCUUCCCGUCAAGGGUUAGGCUGUGUCCUAAUGCAAGAUCGCAAAGUGAUUGCUUAUGCCUCUCGGCAAUUGCGCCCUCACGAAGAGAACUACCCAGUUCACGACCUCGAACUUGCUGCUGUCAUUCAUGCGCUGAAGCAGUGGCGACAUUACCUUCUCGGUAAUCGUUGCGAGAUCUUCACUGACCACCAAAGUCUGAAGUAUCUGUUUACUCAGCCAGAUCUGAACCUCCGUCAACAGAGAUGGAUGGAGCUUGUUGCAGACUUUGACUUGGGUAUUUCCUAUACUCCAGGCAAGGCUAAUGUAAUGGCUGAUGCCUUGAGCCGCAAGUCUUACUGCAACCACCUCCAGGUUCAUAAAGUUCAGCCCUCGCUUGUUGAAGAAUUCAGGAAGCUGAACCUCCAUAUUGUCCCUCCGGGUGCACUCGCUCCCCCUCCUAAGGAGUUUGGCAAGAUGAACCUCCACGUUGUUACCCAGGGUUCCCUCAAUACCCUAGUUGCUAAACCAGAUCUCGAGGACAGCAUCAAAAGGCUACAGAAGUAUGACUCUGAAGCCCACAAGAUUAAGCGCUACCUCGCAGAAGGAAAGCCCUCAUUCUUCACCAUUGCUGAAGAUGGCACCUUAUACUUCAAGGGCCGCCUAGUGGUGCCAUGUGCAGAGAAAAACCUGGAUAUGACACAGGAAGUUAUGAAAGAAGCUCAUGAUACGCCUCUAUGUAUCCAUCCUGGUAGUACAAAGAUGUACCAAGACAUCCGUCAGAGAUUCUGGUGGUCUAAUAUGAAGCAAGUCAUUGCUCGUUAUGUUGCUGAGUGUGACGUUUGCCGUCGUAUCAAAGCAGAACAUCAAAGGCCUGCUGGAACUCUGCAACCUAUCUCUAUUCCUGAAUGGAAAUGGGACCAUGUUGAGAUGGACUUCGUCACUGGAUUUCCCAAGUCACAGAAAGGUAAUGAUGCUAUUCUUGUCGUCAUUGACCGGCUUUCCAAAGUUGCACAUUUCCUGGCGGUCAAGGAAACGAUCACUGCUAGUCAACUGGCAACGCUCUAUAUGUCCAGGAUUGUUUCACUCCACGGUAUUCCAUUGGUUAUCAGUUCAGACCGUGGCAGCUUAUUCACUUCAAGAUUCUGGGCAAGUUUCCAAGAAGCUAUGGGAACUCAUCUGUCAUUCAGUACUGCGUUUCAUCCUCAAUCGCAAGGACAAGUUGAACGCGUCAACCAAGUUCUCGAAGACAUGCUUCGAGCUUGUGUUAUUUCCUUCGGCAAGAAAUGGGAGGAAUCUCUCCCGUAUGCUGAGUUCUCUUAUAAUAAUAGCUAUCAAGCUAGUCUGAAGAUGGCCCCCUUCGAAGUGUUAUAUGGACAAAAGUGCCGAACCCCUCUGAACUGGUCAGAAACUGGGGAACGUCCACUCUUCGGUCCGGAUAUUAUCCAAGAUGCCGAAGAACAAGUCCACAUUAUUCGCGAGAAUCUCAAGACUGCUCAGUCACGUCAGAAGAGUCAGUAUGACCGUCAUCAUAAAGACAUGGUCUAUCAACCUGGCGAAAAGGCUUAUCUUCGAGUCACACCUAUGAAGGGUGCUCACCGCUUCGGGAUCAAGGGCAAACUAGCUCCUCGCUAUAUUGGCCCAUUCACUAUUCUCGAAAGGCGUGGAAAAGUGGCAUACCAACUGGAGCUACCGCCGAACCUUUCUCAGGUUCACGAUGUGUUCCAUGUGUCACAGCUCCGCCGUUGCUUCAAGGACCCAAUCCGAGCUGUGGAUCAUGAAGUGCUCGAAUUGCAGCAAGACCUCUCCUAUAAGGAGCAUCCGGUCCGCAUUCUCGACCAAGCUGAACGCCGCACACGUCAGAAGGCGAUCAAGUUUCUCAAAGUCCAGUGGUCGCACCAUUCUGAAGAUGAGGCCACUUGGGAACGAGAGGAUUGUCUGCGCGAAGAAUACCCCGCACUGUUUCCUUCUACCUCCUAAAUCUCGGGACGAGAUUUCUUGUAGUGGAGGAGAUUUGUAACACCCCGAGAAUCAUGCUACAGUAACUCUCUAUGAUUAAGCUAAUCAUGUUGCUAAACAGGGCUUGAUCACAUUGGAAUCACAUUUCUUUUCAAACUCCUAAUUCAAACUUCAAUUAAAUUUAAAGUGGAAAAUAAAAGUUUUCAAAACUUUAAACAAAAAUGUUCGGGCCAUGCCAAAUAUUACAAGGGUAAUUAUAUUAAAGAAAACAUAUUUUUAUAAAAUGCCUAAAUAAAUUAAAUUGAAAUAAAACAGAAAAGAAAAUAAAUAAAUAAAAAGAAAAUACAAAAGAAAAUAGAACAAACAAAAAAAAAGGAGAAGGAGAAGCCCCCCCCACUGGACCCUGGCCCAACUGGGCCGACCCCAGGCCCAGCCGGCCUGGCCCACCUCCCCGGGUCGCCCUCCCCUUCCCUGUUCCCCCGACCGGGGUCGGAACAGGGGCAGGUCCCCGCCGCACCUCCUCGCCGGCGACGGGGGAGGAUAAGGCCGCCCCGACGCCUCGGCCUCCGCCCAUCCCUCCCACUUGCCCCUCUCGCUCGCCUCUGCGCCUCUCCCUCUCCCCUCCAGAUCCACGCCGCUCCCUCCUUCCCCACCGCCCGAGCGCGGUCGCCGACGUGCCGCCGUCGUUCCCGCGGCCACCGAGCCCCGUUCUCCUCCCCGACGUGUCCACGAGCUCCGCCGCGUCGAGCCCGUCCUCCCCGACCACCUGCUCGAGCCGGGACCCCUACUACAUCACCCCCAACGCCGUCGCCUUCUUCCUCGGGUCGCCGCCGUCUUCUUCGACUCCGGCGACUGCUGCUGCUACUAAGCCUCUCACCGGCCUCCCUGUGCCGCGCGGUGAGCUCCUCUACCUCCUACCCUUCUCCGUUUGCUCUCGCGCGAACCUUAGCUAGCUCUCACGACGAGGCCGAACGCGUCGCCGCGGAGCUCGCCGCCGACGCGUCUCCGGUGACGUUUUGGUCACGGGCCCGUACCCAUUAGACUCGCCGCACCACGUAGUUACUCCCCAGCCUCUCCGUUUGCUCGAUAGCACGCCGUAGCUCCGUUUUCGUCGAGCACCCGUGCACGCCGCCACCUCCGCCGCUCGCCGGCGCCGAUUCCGGCCAAGUCCGGCAAAGCUACGGCCACCACUGGAUGCGGCGCUGCGAGCUCGUUCGAAUGAGACUAGCUCCGCUCCUCCCCGAGCCCCGUAGGCGAAAUCCGGCGAGAUCCGAGCCGCGCCGCCGCGUUUGGCGUCGCCGGCGUUGAGCCGCCGGCCGCGCUGAGCUGGCACACCUGGGGCCACCCCCUGGGUCACUGCUAGUGGGCCCUCUGGCCCCCUGUUAACCUGUUGACCAGGUGACCUGGUCAACUGGGCUGACUGGGCAGGCCCCAGCCACUGACGUGCGGGCCCCACCACUUAAUCUGAUAAUUAAAACAUUUUAAUAAUUAAAACUAAUUAGUUUAGAUAAUUAGACUAUGACAGGUGGGGUCCAGUAGUUAAUUAAUCUAAUUUUAGUUAAUUUAAUCUUCUGAUUAGUCCACUGUCUAUGACAGGUAGGACCCACCUGUCUGGUUUGACUGGUCAGCCGACCUGUUGACCUGCUGACGUCAGCAUUACCUCAUGCUGACGUCAUAAUUCAUUUUUGCUAAAUUCAAAUAAUUCCAGAAAUUCAAAUAAUCUUUGAAAAUUCAUAUCUUUUAAACCGUAACUCGGAUGAAAAUGUUUUCUACAUGAAAGUUGCUCAGAACGACGAGACGAAUCCGAAUACGCAAUUCGUUCGUCCACCACACCUCCCUAACCUAUCGAACUAGCAACCUUCCCCCUCUGGUCCGUUUGUCCGAAAACGCAAAACAUUGGGAAUACCUUCCCGGAUGUUCCCCCCCUUCGCCGGUACCACCUACUGUCGCGUUAGGACACACCUCGCACUGCUCAUUGUCAUGUCACGCAUCGUCAUGUUUAUGUUUGCAUUGUAUUUACUGUUUCUUCCCCCUCUUCUCUCCGGUAGACUACGAGACCGACAUUGCUGCUGCCCAGUUCGACUACGGAGUUGACGACCCCUCCUACUUGCCAGAGCAACCAGGCAAGCCCCCCCUUGAUCACCAGAUAUCGCCUAUUCUUCUCUAUACUGCUUGCAUUAGAGUAGUGUAGCAUGUUACUGCUUUCCGAUAUCCUAUCCUGAUGCAUAGCCUAUCCUUGCUACUACUGUUGUUACCUUUACCUGCAAUCCUACAUGCUUAGUAUAGGAUGCUAGUUUUCCAUCAGUGGCCCUACAUUCUUGUCCGUCUGCUGUGCUAUACUAUCGGGCCGUGAUCACCUGGGCGGUGAUCACGGGUAUAUACUUAUAUACUAUAUACAUGACACAUGUGAUGACUAAAGUCGGGUCGGCUCGUAGGAGUACCCGCGAGUGGAUCUUUGUGGCGGAGCGACAGGGCAGGUUGAGACCGCCUAGGUGAGAGGUGGGCCUGGCCCUGGUCGGCGUUCGCGGUUACUUAACACGCUUAACGAGAUCUUGGUAUUUGAUCUGAGUCUGGCCAUUUGGUCUAUACGCACUAACCAUCUACGUGGGAGUAGUUAUGGGUAUCCCGACGUCGUGGUAUCAGCCGAAGCUCUUUUGACGUCAGCAACUGAGUGGCGUGCGCCGCAUUGGAGCGUAAGCUCGCGCUUGUAUUAAGGGGGCUAGAUCUGCUUCCAGCCGCGUACGCAACGUGCAGGUGUGCAUAGGGCGAUGGGCCCAGACCCCUGCGCGCAUAGGUUUAGACCGGCGUGCUGACCUCUCUGUUGAGCCUAGGUGGGGCUGCGACGUGUUGAUCUUACGAGGCCGGGCAUGACCCAGAAAAGUGUGUCCGGCCAAAUGGGAUCGAGCGUGUUGGGUUAUGUGGUGCACCCCUGCAUGGAAGUUUAUCUAUUCGAAUAGCCGUGUCCCUUGGUAAAAGGACGACCAGGAGUUGUACCUUGACCUUAUGACAACUAGAACUGGAUACUGAAUAAAAUACACCCUUCCAAGUGCCAGAUACAACCCGGUGAUCGCUCUCUAACAGGGCGACGAGGAGGGGAUCGCCGGGUAGGAUUAUGUUAUGCGAUGCUACUUGGAGGACUUCAAUCUACUCUCUUCUACAUGCUGCAAGAUGGAGAUGGCCAGAAGCGUAGUCUUCGACAGGACUAGCUAUCCCCCUUUUAUUCUGGCAUUCUGCAGUUCAGUCCACUGAUAUGCCCCUUUACACAUAUACCCAUGCAUAUGUAGUGUAGCUCCUUGCUUGCGAGUACUUUGGAUGAGUACUCACGGUUGCUUCUCUCCCUCUUUUCCCCCUUUCCUUUCUAUCUGGUUGUCGCAACCAGAUGUUGGAGUCCAGGAGCCAGACGCCACCGUCGACGACGACACCUACGACACUGGAGGUGCCUACUACUACGUGCAGGCCGCUGACGACGACCAGGAGUAGUUAGGAGGAUCCCAAGCAGGAGGCCUGCGCCUCGUUCGAUCGGUAUCCCAGUUUGUGCUAGCCUUCUUAAGGCAAACUUGUUUAACUUAUGUCUGUACUCAGAUAUUGUUGCUUCCGCUGACUCGUCUGUGAUCGAGCACUUGUAUUCGAGACCUCGAGGCCCCUGGCUUGUAUUAUGAUGCUUGUAUGACUUAUUUAUGUUUUAGAGUUGUGUUGUGAUAUCUUCACGUGAGUCCCUGAUCUUGAUCGUACACAUUUGCGUGCAUGAUUAGUGUACGGUCAAAUCGGGGGCGUCACAACAGGGCUUGACGCCCUGCCGGAGUCUGUUGCCCCAUGGCAGGCUCGGUGUCCACGGCAACAUCCUUGCCGGCGGCUCCUGGGAGCUCGGCGGGAAAGUACUUGCUGGGGCCUGAUUUCGUGCGCUUGUUCUGCUCUGUCGAUGGUUCAACGGAUGGUUGAGUUAACCAAAGCACAAAAGUACCUGGUUCCACAUGUAGUUUGAGGGCAGCGCGUUUUGAUAGGUAGUCGGCGAUGUCGUUCUCCACUCGGGGAACAUGCUCGCUUGUAUACCGUCAAAACGCUCCUCCAGCUUCCUCACCUCACCUACGUACGCCUCCAUCUACGGGCUUUGGUAGUCUUUGUUAACUUGCUUGACGACAAGCUGUGAAUCACCCCUGACGGUGAGCUUCUUGAUUCCGAGGUUUGCCGCGAUCCUGAGACCGGCAAGCAACCCCUCGUAUUCAGCAGUAUUGUUCGUUGACAUCUCUCUGGGAAAGUGCAUCUGGACUACAUAUUUGAGGUGCUCUCCGGUGGGUGCAACGAGUAGCACACCAGCACCGACGCCUUGCAGCGAGAAAGCCCCGUCAAAGUACAUAAUCCAGUUGCGACUUGUUUCCUUGCCGGGGAGGGCGGUCUCCUGAAUCUCCUUGUCGGGCGUUGAGGUCCAUUCCGCAAUGAACUCCGCCAAGACUCUACUCUGAAUUAUCGAAGUGCUUCCAAACUUCAAGCCAAAGCUCGACAGUUCCAAAGCCCAUUCCACCAUCCUCCCGGUUGCGUCUGGGUUAUGCAAUAUCCGUUGCAACGGGAGGCGGGUGACGACGGUGAUUUCGUGUGCUUGGAAGUAAUGACGCAGCUUCCUCGAGGCCAUAAGGAGGCUGAAGAGCAAUUUCUGCACACCGGAGUACAUUGACCUAGCCCCCUGCAAGAAGGAGCUGACAAAGUAAACCGGGUGCUGCAUCAUCUUCUUCUUCUGCACUAUCUCAUUUGGUUGCGUCGCUUCUUCUUCGCCAGCGCCAGACUCUGCCGGGGGCCUUGCCUUACCAGCACCAGGCCCUGCCGAGGGGAACUCUGGUUUGCCAUCCGCCAGCCCUGCCAUUGCCACUGCUCUUCGUCAACCUCCUUCUGUGCCACUAGCGCGGCGCUGAGCACUUGGUUCGUUGCCGCUAAAUAUAGCAGCAACGGCUCUUGUGGUUUAGGCGCAGUAUUGACGGGGAGGAGAGGUACUUCUUCAAAUCCUGUAGGGCCGCCUCAGCCUCUGGGGUCCAUUCCACUGGGCCCGCCUUCUUCAAGAUUUCGAAAAAGGGGAGGGCACGCUCAGCAGACUUGGAGAUGAACCUCCUCAUGGCGGCAACGUAGCCAGUGAGCCGACGCACAUCCUUGAUCUGCCUAGGUGCCUCAAUUUGCUCAAUGGCCUAGAUCUUGUCUGGAUUCGCCUCGAUCCCACGCUGUGACACAAAGAACCCGAGAAGUUUUCCGGACGGAACGCCGAAGACACACUUCUCAAGGUUCAGCUUGAGGUUGAUCUUGCGCAAAUUUGCAAACGUCUCUUCUAAAUCUUGUACAAGUGUCGCCUUGUCCUUGGUUUUGACCACUAUGUCAUCCAUAUAAGCUUCCAUAUUUCUAUGUAGCUGGGGCUCAAAACCAAUUUGGACUGCUCUUGCAAACGUCGAGCCAGCACUCUUCAACCCGAAAGGCAUUCGUAAGAAACAAUAUGUACCACAUGGGGUGAUGAAUGCUGUCUUCUCUUCAUCUUCUCUCAUCAUGAAGAUCUGGUGGUAUCCUGAGUAGGCGUCAAGGAAUGAUAACAAGUCGCACCCGGACAUGGAGUUAACAAUCUGGUCAAUGCGCGGCAACGGGAAGGGAUCCUUUGGACAAGCCUUAUUGAUAUCUGUGUAAUCAAUACACAGCCUCCACUUCCCAUUUGCCUUGCGCACCACCACCGGAUUAGCCAACCACAUCGGAUGGAGCACUCCCCUUACCAAGCCUACUGCUUCUAACUUCCUGAUCUCCUCCGUGAUGAACUCCUGCCGUUCCAAAGCCUGCUUCCUGACCUUUUGCUUGACGGGUCGCGCAUGAGGACAAACAACAAGAUGGUGCUCAAUCACCUCCCUGGGAACGUCGGGGAUGUCGGAUGCUUGCCAUGUAAACACAUCGACAUUCGCCCGCAGGAAGGUGACGAGCGCGCCUUCCUAUUUGCUGUCAAGGGAGGAGCUUAUGGUGAAAGCCCCUCCCGUGCCAUCCUCCUUGACGGACACCUUCUUGGUCUCUGGUGGUGCAGCUCUGGAUUUCUUGCUCUUGCCGGUGGAGCUCUUUGGCAAGUCCUCGACGGGAGCACAGCACUCCGAAGAGGUGCGCUUGCCGGAGUGGGUGCGAGAGGCCUUGUCGGUCUUCUCCCCCCCGGGGCUUCGGCGGCAGGGGCAAGUGCCUUGGCGACAGCCGCCGCAACUGCCUCCCGGUAGAGUUGGUCAGCGCAAAUCAGCGCAUCCUUCUUGUUGGAGGGGACGGUGAUGAUGGUCAUCGGCCCAGGCAUCUUCAGCAUGUUGUAGGCGUAAUGCGACGCCGCCAUGAACUUGGCUAGUGCUGGGCGGCCGAGGAUCCCGUUGUAGGGCAAGGGGAUCUUGACUACAUCAAAAACAAUCCUCUCAAUCCUGUAGUUCAACUCGCCUCCAAACGUCACGGGCAGAGUGACCUUUCCCUUCGGCUGGCUCCUUCCCGGGUUGACCCCUUGAAAUGUGCCCGUCUCUUCGAGGUCUCCGCCAGGAAUCUGCAGCCUUUUGAUCACAACAGGCGAGUUCAAGUUCAGACCAGCCCCCCCGUCAACUAGCAUCUUUGUCACCUUGAGGUUGCGUAUUGUUGGCGAAACCAACAACGGCAAGCACCCGACCGCAGUCGUGCGAUCAGGGUGGUCCUCGGCGUAAAAAAUGAUAGGCAUGCUGGACCACUUCAGUGGCUUUUGAGCAUCGAGUGAUGGUUCCGCUGCUGUGAUCUCACACGCCCACUACUUGAGCUGGCGGUGAGAAGUGUGCAGCGAGGCGCCACCGUCGACGCACAUGGCCUCCGUAGCUUUCUGGAACUCAUGCUCGCCGGACUCGUCGUCCUCGUCAUGACCGUCGUCUUCCUGCUUCUUGUCGCGGCCCUGAGUGGGCCUCUCUUGCUGGUUAUCCUUGCCGCGGCGACCCCCUUGGCCGCCACGCUUCUUGCCGGAUCCUUCGACACCAUCCUGACCCUUCUCCUUGUCCCGCCUCUCAUACUCAGCUUUUUGCUUCUCGGCAAUCAACUCAACUUGUCGGCAGUUCUGGAGGUCGUGGCCCUUGGUGCGGUGGAUCUUGCAGUAUUGCUUGUCGGAGCCUCCUGGCUUGUCGGCAGCCACCAAGGCCCGACAAGCGGCACACCCGGCAAUUUCCUUGACGGGGUCGUCUGCCUUGGCCUUCUUGGCAGCGCCGGUGUCCUCGGAUCCCUCGACGGCAAUCACGGUCUUGCCCUUGCGCUUCCUGUUGCGGCGCCGACCCUUCUUCGUCGGGGUGGCUGCGUCUUUGUCUGUCGAGUCGGUUUCCUCACCGGCGUCCUCGCCGGGGUAGUUCCUCCCCUCUUCAGCUCGAGCGCACCUAUCGGCCAGAACAUAAAGUUCGGCCACAUCUUUGAACUUGUUCAUCACCAACUCUUCAUGCAUCUUGCGGUUGCGCACAUUCUGAUGGAACACGCUGAUCACGGCGGCGGGAUGAACAUCUGGGAUGUUGUACUACACCCGGCUGAACCUCUGUAUGUACUUGCGCAGGUUUUCACCUUCCUUCUGGGGGAUGAUAUGCAAAUCGCUCGCCUGGCCAUGAGCUUGGUGGCCUCUAGUGAAGGCGCCAACGAACUCAUGACACAAAUCCGACCAAGAAGAAAUGGAAUCCGCCGGCAAGUGCAUCAACCAUGACAUGACAUUGGGUUUAAGUGCCAACGGGAAGUAAUUGGCAAGCACCUUAUCGUCGCGAGCUCCAGCAGCUUGCAUGACGAUGGUGUAGAUGCUGAGGAACUCCGAUGGAUGGGUCUUGCCGUUGUACUUCUCGCCGACAUCGGGCUUGAACGUGCGGUGGGAGGGCCAUUGGAACUGCCGCAGCUCACGGGUAAAGGCUGGGCAACCCACCUCGUAGGGUAGGUCGCCAGAGCCUCCUAGUGUUGGGUGGUCCAUAGUGGCCCCCCCGCCUAUCUGACUGGUGGCGUGCAUCGCGCUGGCGCUCGAUGGUGGUUCGAGCGUCUUCAUGGGCUCGCUCCCGAAGAACUUGACGCUGAUCGCGGUGGGUCCGUGGGUCAGACGACGCUAUGGAAAUGUUAUCACAAGCGUCAUCACGACGGAUCGACACCCGCGGUGGCUGGCGUGGAGGAGGAGAGUGCACCGUGGCCGCAACACCUCCGAUCCUUCCACCACUGGCAUGCGGUGGCCCGACGGAGCGCCGGCCUGAGGGCCCCGCCGGUCGUGGCUCAUCUUUGUUGGCAACACCGACGAGGCUUCGGAUGGUGGCUCUCCACUCGUCGAGCUUUUCCGUGGCAGGAGGAAAGUCGAGGAGCAACUGCGCGCGCCAAAGCUUCUACUGGCGUGGGCGGCGGCGAAAGCUACGUGGACCGUGACGCGCUCCGACUUCUAACCAUGUUGGAAGGAGCUCUAUCACGGCCUGGCGGCUGUGCGCCAUUUUCGCCAGCGUCUCGGCGUGCAUGCUGGCCUUCUACGUCCCGCGAAUGACGCACAUGACUCUUCCCACGGCGGCGCCCAGGGUCACCAGCGUGGUGACGCUGCUCGUCGCGCACAACCUGGGAAGAGCGUGUCGUGGGCGCCGGUGUAGGCGUCUUGGAAGUCGCUGCGCCGCCCGUGGGUGGCACGAUGCCGCCCCUGGAGGGCCCCGCGCCGCCUGCGGGGCCCCGGCUCCGUCUUUGGAUUUGGUGGCGUGCGGCUCGUCGUCUCGCGCACGAACGACGCCACUCGCCAGGCUUUGACUGCCAGAGCGAUGUGGGUGUUCGCGGGCCGCGCCUCGGCUUCCGUCCGCGACCGCCCCACCACUCGCCCGCACUGAUACGGGCCGUUCGGCCCCCGAUGAACCGAUCGCUGUGAUCGUCUUCUUCUUGGGAGCCAUGGCGAUGAAGAACUGCUAAACUAACUGCUAGACCGGAUUUUCACAACUGCGCCCCCCUACCUGGCGUGCCAAAGAUGUCGGUGGAAACGACACCUAUGGGAUCACUGGGAUCCCUUCUACGGUUGGCGGGCGCGGGGUUGUGCAAAGAGCGGGUCUGGUAGUCAGCACAAGGAUCGUUUACCCAGGUCCGGGCCGCGAAGAUGCGUAAUACCCUAGUCCUGCUUUGAUGUAUAUUUGAGUGUUCUUGAGCUCUCGAACUAGCUACGGGGCGUGCGUAGUCCAAAAUAUCCGAAUCCUCCUCCAGUACGCCUCGGGCCUCCUUUUAUAGACGAAAGGGGUUGCCACAGUGGCACACAGGAGGUCGAAAGGUAUAUAGUGUACAAGCUUAUCGCCUGUCAUUACGGGACAAGGUGCAUUAAAUUCGCCCCUUAGGUGUCCCGUUGCUUUAUUGGGGACGACAACGAGGCCCAUCCCGUCCGUCGCCGCCCCGCCUUGCUCCGACACGCAUCCAGGCCAACGAUGCAUGCGGCGCCAUGUAGGCUGGCAGGCUUCUGAGAUGGCGUGGUGGUAGGGUCUUCACGAAGAUCUGCAUGCCACCACGCAGGUGCUUGCUGAGUUGGCCUGGAAGCCGCACGUUGCCACGUAGGUGCCUGCCCAGCUGGUUGGGCUGACAGCUGUAUGGGAACGAUGGUGGAGUCUUGGCAGACGUGGGUCUGGCUGUGGCCCCGCAGGUGUCCUCGGAAAGAGCCUUGCCGAGGCCUCGGCAAGGGUCUUGUCGUGGCAUCGCGGUCGUCCCCAGCAAGGAUCUUGCCGGAGGUCUCGUGGAUUUCCUCGGCGAGGAUCUCGUGAGGAUCGUCGUCUUCUGGUCCUCAUCUGAUCUCGUGUCUUUAUGAUCUUCACAAAGAUCUGCAUGCCACCAUGGAGGUGCCUCCCGAGCCUUGGUUCCAAUGUGGUUGAUGGUGUUGGAACCCUUGGGCUCAAGGGUGGCGCGCUCUGCUGGCAUUGGGCAAGUUGCCCCGGCAAGGCUCUUGCCGGGGCUGCGUAGGCCGCCCCGGCAAAGGUCUUGCCGGGGGAUUCCACCCCACCCUCUUGCUCUUUGUGUCUCUGGUCUUGGCGUUGUUUCGCCCGUCUUGUGCUUUCGGCUGGAGCGCUGCUUUGGUAUUUUUGUGCUUCUGCUCCCUCCCCUUGCCCUGCUAAGUGUGGCCGCAGGUGUGGCUCUGACUGCCCGUGCACAAGUAGAGGGGUAAAAAAGGAGAGCCCCUACUUUUGUACACCGACAUACAGGAAUAGGAAAAACGUAGGAUUGCGAUGUAUGUUCUCUGAAAACGUAUAGGAUAAGGAAACCACAGGAAUUAGAAUUGAAUCAAAGAGGGUUUGAUGUCGCAACAAAGAAGUUUGAUUGAACUGAUUUUUUUCUCUGAAAUAGUGGGCAACGCAAGGAAAAAUUCCUAAGGAUCUAAAUCCUCCAACACUUCAAUUGAAUUCGUUUGAAUCAAAUUAGCCCUUCGCAUGUUGUCUUUGGAGCAAAUAAGUUGCAUAGGGCCAAAAAUAUAAUGGUCCAAGUUUUUUUUGAACACAGUACAGACGCAAGCGCUCAUACACACACGCAUACACUCACCCCCUAUGGACACACACACGCGCACACCCUACCCCUAUGAGCACCUCCGAAAGACUGAGCCGGCAUAUCAUCUUGAAAUUUAUGAAGUCGCCGUAGGCACCUCGUCGUCGACGGGAACGUCUCCUCCCACUGAAUGCGCAUAGUCGGAAAUCCUAAAAUAAAUGCGAGCACCAAGACUUGAAGCCUGGUGGGCUAGGGAUAUCACAGUCUCUCUAACCAUCCAACCACAGGUUGGUUCGCUAUAAUGAUCCAAGUUUUUUGACGGGAAAGCUUACUUUAUUAAUCAAAGGACGGAUAUAUCGUCUGCCAGCAGACUCACAAUGAAAUCAGGCGGGGCAUCAAUCCAACGAGAUGGAUUAUUAGCACAUCCCCAUCUAGCCAGCUCAUGAGCUACAUAAUUUGACUCUCUAAUACAAUGCUCAAUAGCAAACUUUCCGAAAUCUACUAGAUAAUUACGACAUUCAUCAAGAACCGGCGCUGCCACCAUAGAAUAACCUUCAUUGAAUCUAAGUGCAUCGACCACCGUGAUAUUAUCCGAUCUGACCACCAAGUUAUUGCAUGCCGUAUCUCUUGCUAGCUUCAGUCCUUCAAGUAGAGCUGCCGCUUAUGCCGUGAACACAUCAGCUACAUGUUCUAAUCUCGCCGUGGACGCCGACAUGAAAGAUCCCCGGUGAUCACGGUUGACAGCACCACAAGACCCAGCAUAAUCGCCCUUUGUGAAUGAAGCAUCGACAUUAAGGACAAGUUAUCCUGCUAGGAACGUCGGCCACCUGUUGAUCUUGGGUGUAGAUUUAGUUUGUGCUCCGCACACAUAAUUAAUCGCUAAGGCAACCACCGCCGGCGCUGUUUGUUCUGGAGUCAAUAUUUCUCCGCCUUGCACGAACUGUCUUCUUUGCCACCACAGGAACCAACAAACUGUUGAUAUGAGCUCUGGUAGCUCGACCAAUUCAGAACAUUGUCGCCGAUAAGAAUCAUCACGUAAAAUGAACUCCAAGACUGCCGAACUUGCUCGAUGAGCCAAUGAAGCAAAGUUAAUAUCUGCCGCGAUUCCCAAAGCUUCCCAAACUGCUUGCGCCCUUGCACACUUAAACAACAUAUGGGCUAAGUCCUCCGCACCAUCUCUACAGUAUGGGCAUUGGGACAAAUUUCCAACAUGACGAUUCAUAAGAGUACUCCGGCAUGGGAUGGUAUUGUGCAAGCAUCUCCAGAUAUAAAUUUUAACUUUUGCUCGCACUCUCAAACUCCAUAACUUCUUCCAAGUUGGCAGUAGGUGACAAGAGGCACCAAAUAGAGAGGACAUAAUAAUAAAUAGCACACAAGCGGCAUCAGUCACACGCGCGCGGUAGGCUUAUGAUUGGAACUGGAAAGCAAUUGCUUACAUCUCACGCCGUAUUAUUUGGCCGACAUGAGAAGUUCCGAUGGUCAAUGAUCCUACCGCGCAAGGAGUUUUCGUCGGUGAUCCUUCUUUUUGUUUUGUCAAAAUGGAUUCAGAUUUGGUUGUGGAUGAAGAGGUCUCAGUAUCCGGGGCUAAACUCCAUUUGUUGGACUUGUCUCUGCCCAGCUUGGAAAUCCACACAUUCAGGCAUUCAGGAGGAAAUAGACGGACUUAAGGCUCUUCUUCAAAUUUCAAACACUUUGCCCUGGAGAUCAUUAUUUUGGCAGCUUGAGCCAUAUCAGACCACUAUUAAAUGAUUUCAUAUUUAAGGGUAUCCCUCCCAGCCUCUAUGACUAUAGGAGGAAAUUCAAAGAAGAGUUGAAGUGGAUACUCUUUCGAGCAAAAAAAGAAAAAGAAAAAGAAAAAAGAAAGAGGAAUAUGGCAUCACUAACUUCUCUGAUUAUUAGGGAUAAACACUUUCACAGAUUCCCAAUACCCAACAUACGGGUCCACUUGUCAUUUGGAUAUGCCCCCCUCUCUUUGGCGAUGGCAUGGUAGAUGGGAGCUCCUAUUUGGUGCGGUGCGUGAUGGGAAACCAACCAACGCACACACACCGUUUCCCGUGAGCCCUUUUGGCCGGCCCAUGUGUAGGGCGGGAAGCCUCCUGUUUUUUCAUUUUUUUGCUUUCGUUUUCUUUUCUGUUUUUUCCUCUUCAAAAUAAUUUGGGAUUACAAAAAUAUUGUGAGAUAUUAAAAAAUGUUUGAUAAAUCAUAAAUUUUUGUGAAUUUUUUCAUGAUUUAGAGAAAUAUUCAGGAAAUCUUAAAAAGUUCGCGGAUUCAAAACCUUUUUUUAAAUGUUUGCAUCUACAAAAAAAGUUCACGUUUUGAUUAAAAAUUUCAGGAAAUAAUUUUUUUUUUGUGUAUUAAAAAAAUAUUUCUGAAUUUCAAUAAAUGUUUGAGAUUUUUAAAUGUUCACAAAAAUGUUUGUGAUUUUAAAAAAAAAUCAAACAAAAAAUGUGUUCAUGAAAUUUAGAAAUUGUUCCCAAAUUUCAUUAAAUGUUCGUCGAUCCAAAAGAUGUUAUUGAGUUCCAAUUUAUUUACACGAAUUCAAAAAAUACUCACGAUUCAAAAAAAGUUCACGAAUUUGAAAAAUUUCACAAUUAAAAAAAUGUUCAUGAUUUUUUUUUAAAAAUCACAACUAAAACAAAGUUCAUGAAUUAAAAAAUGUUCUAUAACUUGAAAAAAUGUCCACAAAAUUGAAGAGAAAAAGGGUAAAAGAAAAGAAAAGACUAAAAAGAAAAUAAAAAAGUUAACAUGAAAAAAUGAAAAUAAAAAAAUAAAAAUGAAAAAAGCAGAAAAACCCGAAGAAAGAAAACAAAAAACUGGAAAGGAUCUAGGUGGGCUGACCCAAGCGUACGUAAUGGGNNNNNNNNNNNNNNNNNNNNNNNNNNNNNNNNNNNNNNNNNNNNNNNNNNNNNNNNNNNNNNNNNNNNNNNNNNNNNNNNNNNNNNNNNNNNNNNNNNNNNNNNNNNNNNNNNNNNNNNNNNNNNNNNNNNNNNNNNNNNNNNNNNNNNNNNNNNNNNNNNNNNNNNNNNNNNNNNNNNNNNNNNNNNNNNNNNNNNNNNNNNNNNNNNNNNNNNNNNNNNNNNNNNNNNNNNNNNNNNNNNNNNNNNNNNNNNNNNNNNNNNNNNNNNNNNNNNNNNNNNNNNNNNNNNNNNNNNNNNNNNNNNNNNNNNNNNNNNNNNNNNNNNNNNNNNNNNNNNNNNNNNNNNNNNNNNNNGCGCUAGGUCGCCCACGCGCCAAAUAGGACAUGCGAUGGCAGACAGAGGUGCCGGUCGCAGGCGUGAUAACGGGUCAUCGACGACCUCCAGUGCUCCAGCACGGCGGCGACAACAGUGGCACGUUCGGCGAGAACGACGACGAGGCGAAUGACAUGAGGUUAGUGGGCAUGUGGCCGGCAUAUGGUCCCACACUUUUGAGAGGGUAUUGGGAGAGAUUACCGCCCCACCCCCUCCAUAUAGUGGGAGUUGAGUUGUUUUUAUUGGUGGUCACCAAUAAUUUAUUGAAAAAAGGGGAGCUGUUUUUUUGCCCAAUACUCAAUACCUAAGUACUUAUAAGUGGAGAUAUUGAGAAAAAGGGAUGUUUGAGAUGCUCUAACAUACUGUAUCAAUUGCUAUUUGAGCUACUCACAGUACAUAAACACAUGGCCAUGCAACUGAAUGACUCAGCAGGAUCUAAUCGAAGCACAUGUACACCACAGGCAUAACCACCGGUAUAUUAUGCUUCCGAAAUAAGCUCAGCUAUUUUCGUCGAAAAGUGAGCUCAACUAUGACCACAUAUCGGUCCAGCAUAGCCACAGUACUACUACCAGAUUAAGUUCAUGACAGCAGAUGUAGCAAUUAGGAGUCGCCGCCUAGAUCAAUAACCCCAUUGGGCAGGUGUCGCCCUCCCGAUUGACGGCGUCCGUCCGUACCCUCAGUCUCCCGGUUGGAUGGAUGAGGAGCCAUGGCCGAGGGAGACACGAUCAAGCGAAACUGGAAAGCGAGCGAGCACAUGCGGCGGAGAGCGAGGGUGCAUGCGUUCACGGGGAGCACGCAUCGUUGGCGCGGCCGCCCAUGUGAUCUCGUGUGAUGUUUAGUUUAGGAGAAUGAUUAAUCCUACACAGUGACACUGUGUAGCAUUUUUUCCCUCAAAAAAAAAAUCCUACACAGUGACACGAUCUAGUCUAGCGCUUGGCUCCUGAUGGUGGCCCCCGCUGCCUACAAGACGGCGUCGGAAACGGUCGCGGAGAGGAUGAGAGGUAGCGGCUGCCGGCAGGGCACAUGGCUUGCGCUCUUGCAGGGCAAGGACUGCCUCGAAGAAAAGGCUGCCUGGCCAGCCAGCCUGCUCGAGCAACUGAUGUUAUUGUUCGUGUCCCCUGAAUCGCAGACCAAUGGCAACUGGGUUUAUCUGCAACUUGUUUAACUCUGGGAUGAUUUUGCUACCGCCUACGGAGUAAGAGCAGCUUCAACGGGCUGACCAAAAUGGACGGCGCAUUUGUCCAAACACGGCCGCCUUUUCGGCGUCCGCUCAGUUUUGUAUUUGGAUCGGCAGUGCACCCAACGCGUCGACUCAUUUCAUGUCCGCAUUCGACUUAAAAAAAA
rnacentral:lncRNA from 1 species